AUGGAUGAUGCUGCACGACUCAUUUCUUCGGCUCUAAUCCGCUGUUGUACCAGGGAUCUAAUCAGGCUCAUGUCUGCCUCCUUCGUGAAUAGAUCAGAAUUCAUCUAAACAGACUUCCUAUAGCAGCUCCCCACUCUAGAUGGCCACACGGGAGUUCCAGACCAGUGCUGCCUCCCGGGACGUUGACACAGCAGCCGUGUUGGGGCAGCCACAGUUGGUGUGAGUGGUUCAGGGGCUGGCAUUGGAACGGUGAUUGACAGUUUGAUCACUGGCUAUGCAGAAACCUGUCUCUCAAGUGGCAGCUCUUCUCCUAUUCUGGGCUUUGCCCUGUCUGAGGUGAUGGGGCUAUUGCGUUUGAUGGUUGCCUUCCUCAUCCUCUUCGCCAUGUGAGACUCUGCCUGUCCCUGCUGCUUCGACUCCACACCAUUCCUGGUGCUGGGAUAUGCUGCGCUUUACAACAUUUCUCUAAAACAAACCAAACCAAACCAAACCAGACCAGACCAGACCAGACCAAACCAAACAAGAAAAAAGAAGGCCGGGCGCGGUGGCUCAAGCCUGUAAUCCCAGCACUUUGGGAGGCCGAGGCAGGUGGAUUAUGAGGUCAAGAGAUCGAGACCAUCCUGGUUAACAUGGUGAAACCCUGUCUCUACUAAAAGUACAAAAAAAAUAAGCUGGGCAUGGUGGUGCAUGCCUGUAAUCCCAGCUACUCAGGAGGCUGAGGCAGGAGAACUGCCUGAACCCAGGAGGCGGAGGUUGCGGUGAGCUGAGAUUGAGCCAUUGCACUACAGCCUGGGAAACAGGAGCGAAACUCCGUCUCAAAAAAAAAAAAAAGAAAAAAGAAAUAGAGGUUUACUUGGCUCACAGUUCUGCAGGUUGUACAUGAAGCAUGAGAUCAGUGUCUGGUUUUGGUGAGGGCUUCAGGAAGCUUCCACUCAGGCUGGAAGGCAGAGAGAAACUGGCCUAUUACAUGGUGAGGGAGGGAGCAAGAGAGAGAGGGGAGGGAGGGGCCCAGCUCUUCUGAACAAUCAGAUCUCGUGGGAACUAAGAGAGUGACAACUUACCCAUUCCCCAGGAGGGGAACAUCUGCCCCCAUGACACACUAGGCCUCAUGUCCAACACUGGUGAUCACGUUUUAACAUGAGAUCCAAGGGGACAAAUAUCUGACCUAUAUCAGUGAGUAACUAUGUGCCUCAGUUUCCUCAGUGGUAAACUGGGGUAAAGAAGGAUACGAAGAACCAACCCAUUACAGUUGUUCUGGGGAUGAAUGAGAUGGCCAUUGUGAAAGGACUCUGGGCCGUUUUAAUGUGGUGUCGCAUUAUUGAAUAAACCAUUGCUGAAUCUAGCCCAUCUCAAGCUUUUGUACAGCCUGUGAGCUAAGAAUCAUCUUUACAUUUAAAAAUGGUUGAGGAAAAAUAUCAAAAGAAAAAUAAUAUUUCUUGACACAUGAAAAGUCUAUGAAAUUCAAAUUUCAACGUCCUUAAAUAAAGUUCCGCUGGCACUCAGCCAUGCUUCCUCGUUGGUGCCACUUUUGUGCAAUAACGGCAGAGUUGAAUAACUGCUCCACAGACUGAAGGGGUCUGCGAAGCUGAGGACACUUAUCUGGCCCCUUACAGGAAAAAAAGUGCCAGCCCCUGAUAUAGAACAGUGGUUAUUACGGUGAUUAUUGUUCAUCUUGCUGCAAGAUCCCGGGUUCUACACAGGGAUCUUUCCCUCUGAUGGUGUUAAAGCUUGGGGAAAGCUAAAGCCCUCAAAUUCCUAGUGAAGAAAUCAAAGCUAGCUUGUUUUUUCAUUCAUUCAUUCAUUCAUUCAUUCAUUCAUUCAUUCGUUCAUCACUGUUUCACCAAAUAUCCUUUGAGUUCCUACUAUGUGCCAGACACAGGGGUGGUGAGGAAAAUGCAGUGACACAGGAGAAAAUUUCAGCCCUCCUGGAGCUUACAGUCUAGCAGGAGGAGUAAGAUAAUAUACAAAUAAAAACUCGUGACUCCCCUGAGGGUGACGGAUGCUAUGGAAGGGCUGGGGGAGAGAGGAGGGACUGUCAGGAUGGGCCUUAUUGAGGCCAUAGGUGAUGUGAAGGAGGGGUUGUGUGAGCCCUGAACCUAUAUGAUGGGGCUGGGGCAGAGGGAAAAGCAAGUUCAAAAGCCUUGGGGUGUGAGCGUUGGACAUGGUCAAAGGAGAGCAACGAGCAAUGUGCACAGGGCAUUCUUAUGUGUUUUUAAUUUUCAGCAUUGGUUCCAGAGCUGUGGCAAUCUGAUAUAUUGUCCCGUUUAAAAAAUUUUAUUUUGGGCCGGGCAUGGUGGCUCACGCCUCUAAUCCCAGCACUUUGGGAGGCCGAGGCAGGCAGAUCACGAGGUUAAGAGAUUGAGAUCAUUCCGGCCCACAUGGUGAAACCCUGUCUCUACUAAAAAUACAAAAAUUAGCUGGGCGUGGUGGCGCAUGCCUGUAAUCCCAGCUACUCGGGAGGCUGAGGCAGGAGAAUUGCUGGAAGAUUGGAGAUUGGAGUGAGCUGAGAUCGCGCCACUGCACUCCAGCCUGGGCAAUAGAGCAAGGCUCCAUCUGAAAGAAAAAAAAAUAGAUUUUGUCUUCAGAACAAUAGAAAACACGAAGGGAGACAAUGUAAUGCAGUGGAUAAGAGAAGGGGUUCCAGGCAGAUCAGAGUUGAAGCUCAACCUCGGCAGUAUGGACAUUGAGGGCUGAACAAAAUCUUCGUUGCAGGAAGCUAUCCUGUGCAGCACAGGCAGUUCAGUAGCAUUCCUGGCCUUUACUCACUACAUACUUGUGAUAACCAAAAAUGUCUCCAAACAAUGUUACAUGUCCCCUAGGGGCAACAUUGGGCAAAUAUUAGUUGGGAAAGCAGAGACCCUAGCCCUAGCUCUUGCUUCUCUCUUGUUCACCUGUUCUUCAGCAGAGAGCAUGGUGUCUGUUCAUAUCCUGGUGAGAAGCGUAUUUAUAUGAUUUGUAUGAUUGGCUCAGAUCCUUGUGUGAAAAUACAAGCUACUAAAAUGAUUAUCUUUGCAAUUUUUUUCAUUGCUUUUUUUAUCUCUUACUAGUCAUCAUACCUUAUGUGUGACUGCCUUUGACAAUUUCCAGAUUGACCUGUGAAGCAACGAGGUGGCCAUCAUUUCUCCCAUCCACUUGGUUGGAAGGAGAGGGCCUAAGAGCUUAUGAAACAUGCCUGAGCCUUCUGAAUCCAUGCCUUUGACCCAUCUGAACUGCAGGAGGGGAGAUGGGCAGAUAAAAGAGUGAGGUGCUUUUAUACUGUUCCUCUGAGGCUCGCUGGUAAAACACCAUUCAUUGAAAAUUGGCCUCUUUGCCUGGGGGAGCCCCUAGGACCUGCUGACUCCUGAGUCACCACUAGUCAUGCUGAAUUAAAGGGACACCUUGCUGUAAAGAGGAACGGAAGCUUCGGGCACCAAGAGGAAGGGGCGCAUUAGGAGAACCUAGAGGAAAUGUGUUUUUGGAUUUGUGUUCCUUGUUGGGCUUAUUUGGAUUUAUUUCCUCUUCACUACCUUUUAUCCUGUGCCUGAGUUGAUCAUGGAGCAAAAUGUUCCUGUUUGUUCUUCCUUCUAGAGUUACAAAUGGUAAAAAGGCAAUAACUGAUGUUUACUGAGCAUUUCUUCUGUGUUCCAAGCACUCUUCAUGCAUUCUCUUUCCCCACCCUGCUUCCAAAUCCCCUCCGUGAUGGCUGUUAUUGCCACUUAAAGAUAAAGGAAGAGGCUUGUGAGGUUUAGUAAGUUCCCGGGCUGAGUGGUUCAGUAACUGGAGGAAGCUGGAAUUUGAUCUCUGCAGCCUUUUUCUUUUGCAAACUCUUGGGUGCACCAUAAGAGAAGCCCAAGAAUUGUCCAGUAAAAUUAAAACUGCACCCCAAAGCCCAGCACCUGGGAGGAUUCCUGGGCUUCAUCCUCAGAGCCUUUUAUUGCAUCCAUGCUUGGAUGAGUCUCUUGAAGCCAAUUUAAUCCCGGUCUAUCUAUACAAGGGAGCAGCAAGCUAUUGACGGCCUCGUAUUUUGGUCAUCAGUGCCCUCUUCCUUCUGAAGCUUGUCAGUUUUUAACGUCUGGAGAACCAGGGGGUAGUGCAGGGGCUUCCAGAGCCCUGUUUGCAAUCACCACUUACAGACCAGAGCUUCUCACACUUAGAUGCAUGCGGGACUUCCUGGGGUUGGGGUUAGGUUGCAGGCUGUGAUUUCAUAGGCCCUGCCUGGGGUCUCAUCCUGCAUUUGUAACCACCUCCUGGGUGAUGAUGCCGAGGCGGCUGUCCUCUGGCCACAUUGAAGUCCCUAGUUCUAGAUGCCGUCCCCUCACCCUACUUCAGAGGCUUUACCAAAUUAGAAUCCCAUCGCUGUGGGGAGUGUGGAAUCAGCGUGAUGGAGGUGAAUGACACAGAUGGGUGUUCCUUAAGCUGACUCCUGAUAAGCUUGGCGAAAUGAAGCCAGGCAUAUUAUAAUUGCUACCUUCUCUUUAUGUAGUGUCUAAGACUUUUUGAAUACCUACUGUGUGUCAGCACCUUUUCCCAUUGAGUAUCAUACUGAAUAACUUUGGAUCUAAGGUCACUUUGGCAGUGAGAAAUACCCUCCUCUGAGUCAAGACCACCUUUGACCCCAGAACUGGUGGCUCAUGCAUGUAAUCCCAGCACUUUAGGAGGCUGAGGUGGGAGGAUCACUUGAGCUCAGAAGUUCAAGACCUGCCUGGGCAACAUAGUGAGACCCUGAUUUGAUGAAAAUAAAAAUAAAAAAAUUAGCUAGGCAUGGUGGCACUUGCCUCUAGUCCCUGCUACAUGGGAGGCUGGGGUGGGAGGAUCGCUUGAGCCCAGGAGUUCAAGACUGCAGUGAGCCAUGAUUGGGCCAGUGCACUUCAGCCUGGGCGAGAGAGUGAGACUCUGUCUCAAAAAAACAAAAACAAAGACUGCCUUUGAGUCAUCAAGCCUGCCAUUCAUUUGUAUGACAGGAGCGGGUGAGUAAGAGGGAGGAGUUGGAUGAUACACAUGUUAUCAUGUGGUAUUUCCUUCACUAAUUAUUUGGGCUCAGUAAGGGAUAUUUGGAGGUUGUCAGUUGCCUUUGUCCCAUAUUCAACUGGACUGUGAUAAAGACCUAGGCAGACAUAAUGUGUUUACCGUGUUCUGGAAGCACUUUGAAGGACCCCGGGCAGAUUCCCUGGCAUAGUUAAUAUACCCCGGACUUUCCCUCGCCCUGCAUAUGGUGGCUUAUGAGAAGAAAGUGAAGACUAGAAAAUCAUUUGUGUGUCACUUUGUAGGAAAAACACUUCAGGUAAUGAGACAGGAUUUGAGUGGGAAGGUGAUUAUAACCAACCCUUCAUUCAUUUUUCUACAAAAUAGUCAACAGGCAGUCUCCCAAACUGCAUGAUGAAUGUAGCAUCCGUCAGCUGGGGAUGUUGGGAGGCCUUAUUUUUUUUUAUCUGUGAUCCAAUAUUAAUUUGCCUUAAACCAAAGAAGCCAUUUACUGUGUAAUUCUGAAGUUUAUGGUGUUUCUAAUAAGUCCUUUCAUCUUUUGAAAGAUGGUGCUAUGCAUUUUAAUAGAAACUAUUGUUUUCUUAAAAUCUUUUCUUCAUCUUUUUGUUUAACUCUUUCUUCUCUUCAAUCAAAUUAUAGAGUUGGAGCAAAUGUCAUGUUGAGCUUUGAGGCCCAAGCGUCAAAGGGUGUGUGUGUGUGUGUGUGUGUGUGUGUCUGUCUGUCUGUUUCUUUCCUCAUAAUAGUCCCAAUCCUAAACAGGGGUAUAGCACAAUACUUCUUAUGAACAAAAGUGCUAUUUGUCUGCAAGGGACUUGAGCCUUCACUAAUUGUAUACGAUUCGGCUUUUUGUGCUGUCUGUAUGACGUUUAACCACACCGUCAAUUAAAGACUUCCUUUAGGGAAUUUCCAGGAAACCCCCUUACCGUAAGAGUUUAAAUUAAUGUUUUGCUGGUUUAAUGACAGCAGCUGGGAAAGGAAGCACCUUAGCUAAAGACAACUUCCUUUAAACUUAGAGGAGGGUACGAUAGAGUAAUCUGCCCCAGUUCGUUAAGAAUCAUUAGUGCCUCAAGGCAGUCACAUGAUGGGUUUUGACCUCAGUGGGGAGAGGUUUGGGUAGAACCCCCUAAUCUGUAGAAGAAUCUGUAGAAAAGUGAGAUGAACGCCUUUCUCUUAAGGCUGUCACUUGUCCAAUUCCAACUCCCUCUUUAGUAUCCGCCUCCCUCCCUCGCAGUGAAGUGACUCAGGGAGCCAGUUAUUAUGGCCCUGCCUGAUGGAUAAUUACUGGUUGAGGCUUGAUUUGACACCAGCAUUUUGCAUGAUAGCCUGUUAGAUUUGCUUGGCUCAAAUUGAUAUUUUCAUUCCCCUAAGGCUGCAGCGUGGAAACAUGGUUGCAAUGGGGUUUGCCAAGAUGGGAUGAUUUCCUGUGCUGUGGCAGGACCAUGGUGGCUGUUCUGAGAACUGUUGCGGCAAAGCCUUCGCAGUUGGUUUUGUGGAAGGCUUUUCUGCAGGUGCAGGGUUGGUUCCUAAAGGACAGUAGUCUGGUUUUCCUAGGAAACUACUCUUGGAGAGUGCGUGUGUUUAAUUUAGGCGGCACAGCUGUGCAACGGACUGGAACUCCAUCAGGGAACAGGGUGCAGGAGCUCCGUGUUCCUUAUGCUGCAGCCUCAUUCCUGGUUGCUGACGUCAGAACUGAUGAAAGGUGUCUGUUGUCUCUCUGCACACCCAUGCUACAGGCAGUUAGGGAUGAGGUAGCAAAACCAGUUCACUGCUUAUCAGCUGGGAGGCUUCAGGAGUCUCUGAACUACUGAGCAUUAGUUUCUUUAUCUGUCCAUUAGGCCCAAUGCCACCUGCUCUGCUCAUCUCCCAGGAUCUUACAUGCCACAUAAGCUAAUGGAGAAGUAAAUGCUUUAAAAGCCUAAAGGAAUGGACGUGGUGCAUUCAGUGAGAGGCAGAGGACUAGUUAGUGAUUAGUUUGCUGGGUGGGAGCAGCAGUCAUUAGUUUACGAAGGGCUGUUUUUUUGUUUUUUGUUUUUUUUAAACUUGUCAGUCUACUAUACGAUAGAUCAUUCCAGCAUCUGAAAUUCCAAAGCACUUGUUGAAGGGGAUUCUUAGGAUGGCCUAAUUUUGUUCACUCAUAGGCUCUUUUUCCUGGGACAUGAUCCUAGCAGUGUUCAGGAUAAGCCCUGUCCAUCAAGCCAGUGCAGUGAACUGUUGUGUGGCUGGAACUCAAUCUGUUCCAGGCUCACAGCAUGGGACGGGGGAUGGUAGGGGCUUUUGAAUUCCCUUGAGGGCACUUGGCCUUUGCUUGUAUCUGCUCAGGAAGUCAGACAGUCUGCAGCCAGUGGCGUGUGCAGCUACCCCUUCUGUUCUCUGUCCCUGGAGACUUGUGGUCCUUUUGUUUUAAAGUUGACUGCCUAAUAUUCCUUUGAAAUGUGGGAAAGAAUUGAACAGAUUCUGAAACUUAAUGGUGGAUUAAAAAAAUUUAUUUAGGGAAUCAGAGCAUCACUUAAUUAGACAUGUCUUUUUUUUCCCCCAGCUGCCCUAAUUAAAUAGUAAUCAUCAUAAGGAUAAGGAUAAUAGUUGAGCUCAGUGUCCUGUCUCCCAGUGAAGUUACUCAAUGAAUAUUUGUUCUAGGAGUAGCUGAACGACUUGGAGAUCCGAAGGAAGAUUUGGAGAUUGGCCAUUGUAUCUGAGUUCACCCUGGUGGGACAUUUACGGCGAACAUUCUUUUUCUCUGGGUCUCUACCUUUUCCUUUCCCUUUUCCCGUAUAACUAUUUUCUCCUUAUCUGCAUGCUCUCUGCAAUGCAUAUCCACAACAGGUGAGCCUGGGUGAAUGAAUAUGACUGCAUGUAGGCUGGUUUUUCUCCCUUCUCUGUGGUCUGCCUUUUGGGAUUCAAUCCCCCUGCAGACUUUAUCUGGUCAGCUUGGUUGUGGCUAUGGAUCUUGGUUUUGUCUAUUGACAGAGAUGGCAAGGAAUUCAAAGGUGAUUUUUUUCACCUCUUCAUUUUAUAAACUCGGGCCCACCGUGAAAUGACUUGCCCAAGAAUACACUGAGUGAGUGAGGUGGUCAUAGAGAGCUAGUUGUCCUGGUGCUUAGCUCUGACCUAACUCCAGGAAGGUGACUGCAUCUGGCUUUUGCCCCAAAGCAUUCUGGGAAGAAAUGAUAUCCUUCUGCUAAGAGAAUGAGGGCCGGAUGGAGGUGUCCUGCAUAAGGGUGUCAAAGUAUUUCACUCUGUCCUCUGGGGAUCCCAGAGUGAUUCUUGGAUUCUGUGCACACUGAGGGAAAGUAGGCUUGAGUCUACUCCACUGUCUGAUUGAAAUGGGCCUCUCCUGUCCCUAGCCUGGUGAGUUGUAUCUUGUUUCCCUGCCGGUGGGCAUUUUCUGCCUUCAUCCCUGCUCAUGGCUGCUGAAUGGGUCACCCAGGCUGGGGCAGGCUGAACUACAGGCUAAUGAAAUUGUUUGGCCCAGUUUCUGCUUGGUGAAAUCUGACAGGAUCUUAUCACCCUCUCUGUGCCUGGAAAAUUGGACUCUCCUGGAGCUUAUAAAAUUGGGAUGUCUGUUUCCACUAGCAUUUCUUUCCCAGUUAUAUUAAUCAAUAAUGUGAAAUCAAAUCAAGAUAUUCUUUCUACCAGCACCAGCUUCUCCAAUACAUUUAUCUCUGUAUUCUAGGAUUUGCUUUGGCUCUUUUUCUUAGAAGGGGAUUUUUUCAUGCAAUUUAGGAGCACAGAGCAAACUUCCUGGGAAAACCUAGACAUUCAAAUAUCCUUGGGCAAAUCAAUCUAUCUCACUGAACUGUGUUUUUAAAAUUUGUAAAAUGGGCGUCAGUGUGCCACCCUUGCAGAUGUCGUAAGGAUUACAUGAGAUUGCAUGGUGUGUAGAUUCCAUUUGUGUUUGGCACUUAGUGGGUCUACACGUGGAGGUCUGGGCUUUCAAGACAGCCUUUUGCCAAGGGUGGUUGGUGUAGGUGUCUUUAUGUGUAUUGGUGUAGGGUUCUCAGGCAGGCUGAUCAUCAGAACUACCUUUAAAAUAACCCUAGCACAAGCAUCAGAUACCCGGGUCCCCCUAGACCAUCCACUCCUCUGAAUCUCCGGAGGUAAGCCCAGUGUUCCAUCAUUUUAUUUUAUUUUUCUAAAUUUUUUCAAUGUUUUUGUAGACAUGGUGUGUGUGUGGGGGGGCAGUCUUGCUAUGUUGCUGGGGCUGGUCUUGAACUCCUGGCCUCAGGCAAUCCUCCUGCUGUCAGCCUCCCAAAGUCCUGUGAUUACAGGUGUGAACCACUGUGCCUGGCCCUACUGCAUCAUUUUGAAAGGCUCCCCGUGUGCUGUUUUGGAUCCUCAGCCCCAUUUGGGGACCUCUGCAGGAUAGGUUUUAUUUUUUCUUAUCAUCCUUGAUGAAGGCAAAAUGGUGGUGUGGUAUAGAGACUUGAAGAUUUCAGUCUGAUCAUGUUUUCAUGCUUGAUUUGGGCUCUGUUCACAGCAAGUUUGUUGGGAUUGGUGGGGUAAGAAAGGGGGACAAUUAAGCAAUAAUAGUCUAAUAAGAGAAGCUGUGAUGCUUGACUAAUUGGAAAUGGAGAAUUUGCUUCUUAAAAAGUACUAAAGACAACCAGAUUAUAUCUGUUCAGGCCACCAUGGGGUUCACCUUCAUAUGCAGAACCUUACCUCUGAGAUGGCUUUAAGAUGGAAUGGUGAGAGUCCACAUUCAGUUUCGUAUCUGUUUCCAGUUGUGUGGGUGGGGUUUUUUGUCUCUCUGUCUCUGCCCCUCCUCCUCUGGCUGGCUUAAUACUGGGAGAAUUCUUAUCACCUCCUGGAGGACCCACAUGCUUUGGAGAGAGGAAAGCCAACUUGAAUGCUGGCUCCAAUCCUUAAAUCCCAUCUGGAAGUGUCAUAAAGAUGGAAUCUGUUCCCAGCUUGGAAUCUACCUGGAUAUAACCUGGCACUCAACAUGAGGCCUCAGAUGUUUUUGUUGAGCAAAGAGAAAUAGAUCAGAGAAGAAUGCAAAAAUCCCCAAAUCAGGAAACCUGUCCAUUUCUACUUCCUGGUUCUGUGACCUUCAGCAAGACAUUUAACCUUAAGAGAGUGAGCCUCCGUUCCCUUAUUUGUUAAAUAGAGUGUUCACAUUCCUUUCUUUAGCUUUCUCAAGUGAAAUACUAUUUUAUGUAAAAAUGCUUUUGUAAAACCAUGGAGCAGUCUCACCCUUACUGUAAGAGAAAUAUUUUGUUGCUUGUUAGAACACUGGCGUUUAUUCAGUGUUUUUGCUGGUUGUUUACCUGUUAUCCCUCUCUGUGUUAAACAUGGAAAAUUACUUAUUUGUAGGUUUUCUUUCUGCUUUUUAGUCUUCUGGAAACCUUGCAGUGCCUAGGCACUUUGAAGAAGGGUUUUCUGGAGUUUCAUGUGGGUUUCACCUCACCCUAUUCACAUAGUCUGUCUUUAGAAGUCCCUAUCUCCCUGUAUUUGCUGGAGUGAAAGACAGAAGCUCUGAUUGGCAGCCUCAAAGCUGCAGUGUUCAGGAAAGCCAGAGAUGUUUGUUUUCGCUUUCUUUGCCUCUCAAUUGGAGUCACAGGGUGCUGCAGCAAGACUUGUUUUCUGGAUUAGUUACUGACCCAAAGUAUUUUCCUUGUGAAUAAAUGUUGCUUCCCACCACAGUCACUUGAGAAUAGGAAGGUCACAUGGAGAGGAUUAUAAAUAGGUUUUGGUGCCAACAGAUAGGGCAGCCUUCCAGAAAAAUUAUUUUUUCACCAUGUGUUUGUUAAAUGGGCAGCUACGGAGUGUAUAGUUGCUAGCAUUUGUCUGCCUGUCGUUGGGGGAGGUCAUAGUUCAAUAGGCCUGCAUUUGACCCUUGGUCAUAGAGCUAGUGGGCUUUACAGCUAGUUUAUUAAGUUAUCCUAAUCUAGGAUGAACUGUUUAAAAAUAUAUAUCCAGCAAGAAAACAGAUGUAGCCACAUAUAGGGAAUGAGUUCUUGACAGAGAAUUUCAGUAUUUAACCAUUGGUAUAAAUUCAUUCAUUCAUCUACUUAUCCACCUUAUCAUCCAUUCUUCCAUCCCUCCUUCCAUUCAUCCAUCCACUCACCUACCCCUCCACCCAUCUACUCAUCUACCCACUCACCCACCCAUCCAUCCAUCCAUCCAUCCAUUUGUCCAUCUAUCUAUCCAUCCACCCAUCCAUCCAUCCGUCCGUCCGUCCGUCCGUCCGUCCAUCCAUCUAUCCAUCCACCUAUCCAUCCAUCCAUCCAUCCAUCCAUCCAUCCAUCCAUCCUUCCUCCAUUUUGGCAGGUGGUUAUCAAGCAACUAUUAGGUCCCAGUUCUGUGCUGGGUUCUGGGGAUAAAAAGUAAAAUAAGAUAGGAUCUCUGACCCCAAGGAACCUACAAUCUGGGGUACAGAAUAUUUUCCUAAAUUUUAAGUCAAAUUCUUUCUUGACACACCUAUUUUUAUUUUGUUUUGGUUCUCAUCUCUGAACAGAGCAAAGCAUGCAACCAUUGUGACACUUUCCUUUGUUUUUAUAAACCCAAGUUCUGGAGUUGGAUUUCAUGGUUUGCGUAACUCAGCAUAGUGUAGUCGCUUGUAUUAUUAAACAGAAAAAGAAGGAAGAAAUGACAAUCCAGAAAAAAGAUCAAACCUUGUGACUAAUUUAUUAAGGUAUCCAACGGAAUUCUUUCCUUUUUCUUUUUCUUUCUUUUUUUUUUUUUUAAAGAGACAGUCUCAGUUAUGCAGGCUAGAGUAAUUGUCAUGAUCAUAGUUUACUGCAGCCCUCAAAUCCUGGGUUCAAGUCAUCCUAGAACUUGCGGCCUCAAGCAAUCCUCCUGCCUUAGCCUCCCAAAGUGCUGGGAUUAUAAGCGUGAGCCACUGCUCCUAAUUCUUAAGAGAUAUUUUUAAACCUCGUAGUGUAUACUCUUCAGAAUCACUUUUUGAACCUUGAGUAAGUUUAAAUGGCAAACAUUUCUAAAUAUAUUUUACUGAAAGGCCAGUUGGGAAGCAGAGGGUUCCAUCUUCUGAAUUAGCAUGAGGACAGGCCAUUAAAAUUCAUGAGUAAGGGCACGGGCUUUAGGUCUGACAGACUUGGGUUUGGUUUUCCAUUGUGCUGUUUUCUACCUGUGUGACUUGGGGCAAAUUACUUCACCUCCCUGAGCCUCAGCUUUCCUCUUCAUAAAAUAGGAAUAGCAACAAUAUUUACCUGAAAGAAUUACUAUUAGAGUGAAAUGAGAGUAAAGAUUUGCAAAGUCUUCAACAUGGGCCUGGCAUGUAGUAAGUGCUGUUUUGAUUAUUAUUAGGGGUAAAGAGAUUGGAUAGUUAACAGUAAAAGGAAAACCAAAUAUUGGCCAUUGGGGGGUUUCCGUGGAAAUAAGAUAUGCGAUGUCUUUUGGUAUUAUACAACUAACAAUCUCCUGAGAAAUUGGAAGGUUUCUCACAUAGCCCUUAUUUGCAUCUUUGCUAUGAUGCUGAUUUUUUCCAAGCUGUUUUUUUUGCAGUUCAAGGGUUGGUGGGAACGUUUGUAUGUGUAGGGGGAUGGGAGAAGAAAGAGUGUCAAGCCUGUAAACAAUGCUUCAGAUUUUCAGCUAAUUUUAGCACAAAUUAGAUUUUAGAUUUUUAGCAUGUCUUUUCGGCAGGCUACCAACUUAGGAGAAAAUCUAAUUCUGAAAUUAAUUUCAACAAAUCAGAAAGGCAAAUUGGAUCUGACUUUUUUUUUUUUUUUAAAGGGCUGACUUUUAUAUAUGCUUGAGGCAAAGAGUUCAAUGUUGUGGGAAUUAUUUUCACAAAUGGAUCAUUUUCUUUCAAAAAAAAAAAAAAAAAAAAAAGAAGGGAGAGUUUCUCUUGGUGUUUUUGGUCCAUGGAAGGUAGUUCUAAAUACUGUUUAUAGAGGCCUUGAUCCUUUUUAAACUUAAGGAGCCCAGUCGGCCUCUAUGGCAAUAAAUCGAGCUCCAUAUAGGGGCUGAGGGACAUUUAAUUUAUGUGCCUGACUCCUUUCCCCAGUUCAGCCGCUGCUUCCUGGGAUGGUGCUGUUGAUUGAUGGCUCUUCUGGCAGGUCGUGCUGCUGGGAUGUCUUUUGAAGUUUCUCCUCGGGGGUCCUGAGGUGUGCCCCUGUGAGGUGUUAAUGGGCUUCCUGCUGGGGCUUUAUUUGUGAGGGGGUGCUUGUUAGAGGGGCUUGAUGGGCCAGUGGGGGCACCAGAGCUCCAGGUCUUCCUCCCUGAAGGGUUGACUCUCAGGCCUUGGGCUUGUGUUCGCAACCCACUGCAGUUUGUUUUCAUUUCUGUUCCUCAGGCAGAAAUGGUUCGUUUCUGGGGGUACCAAGAACCCUGGCAGGAUUUGGGAGUGGGAAAUCAGGCCCAGCCAGGGACGGGUUGUUCUGAGAACCCACACAGAUAAGCGGACUCCUCCCCACAGGGGAGGGCAGGGAUUUGCAGUGAAUGAUGAGGGCUUGAGGCUUGAGCAAGAUGGCCCAGCCCCAGCAAGACAUACCUUGUCCUCUGUUCUCCCAGGUUGGUGAGGCUUCCAUGUUCUCCUCCCUGGGUCCUCAGAGGCCUGACUGCUGCUAGUCUCCCCCCACAAAUUCCAUUCUUCUCAGCACCACACGAUGCUUGUUCUAAAAUGCCUCUCCUCCUGCCAGUCCGUUUGUGGUAUGACAGGUUGAAUUGUGUCUCCCCACAAAUUCCUAACCCCCAGUGCCUCAGAAUGUGACUGUAUUCAGAUAGAGAUAGAGCCUUUAAAAAGGUGAUUAAGGUCAAAUGGGGUCAUUAGGAUGGACCUGAUCCAGUCUGACUGAUAGGCACAGCAAGAAGGUGGCUGUCUGCAAGCCAAGGAGAGAGGCCUCAGGAGAAACCAGACCUAACCUGCCAGCAGCUUGUCUUCCAGCCCCCGGAACUGGGAGAAAAUAACUUUGUUGUUUAGGCCACCCAGUCUGUGGCACUUUAUUUUGGCAGCCCGAGUGUAUCAACACACAUGGCUACCUUGACUGAUGAGAUACAUUUCCAGCCUCAUCGAGUGCCACAGCACCUCUUUUGUCUCUGGCUGCUGUCUGCCUUUCUGAUCUUGUGCAGAGAUCUCUUCUCUUGCCUGAGAAACUACAGAUCCUUUAAGACUCAGUUCUGGGCUACCUGCUCUGUGAGGCCCUCUGAGACUAUCCUUCCCUCUCUCUCCCUCCCCUCCCCGCAGACUUGGAUCUUCUAUACACUUCUGAGAACCUUGAGGGCAGAGAUAGCACCUAGCUCUGAACCUGGUAGUUAAUGAAUGUUUAUUGAAUCAGUUAAGACUUACCCUUUAUUGUUCUGUUUCUUAUCCACCAUCCCCAACUUUGUGCUCUAUUAAAAAAGAUGAUGUAUUAGUCCAUUUUCACACUGCUGUAAAAAACUAACCAAGACCAGGUAAUUUAUAAAGAAAGGAGGUUUAAUGGACUUACAGUUCCACAUGGCUGGGGAGGGCUCAGGAAACUUACAAUCAUGGCUGAAGGUGAAGGGGAAGCGAGGCACGUCUUACAUGGCAGCGAGAGAGAGUAAUGGAGGAAGUACCACACUUUACAACCAUCAGAUCUUGUGAGAACUCACUCACUAUCACAAGAACAUUAUGGGGGAAACCACCCCCAUGAUCCAGUCACCUUCCACCAGGUUCCUCCCUUGACACAUGGGGAUUACAAGUGGAGAUGAGAUUUGGGUGGGGACGCAGAGCCACACCAUAUCAGAUAAUAAACCUCGAUUUUCCACAGGGUGUUAAUAGCUUCAACAGGUAUGUCCCAGAUGCUGAUGGUUAUGACCGCGAUAAUGCUAGUCAUUUUAGCUAGUAUUUACUGAGCACCUUCUAUAUACCAAACAGGCUUGCACCUCACCUCACCAUCCCAGCACCCUUUCAGGUAAGUGUAUCUUCAGGUACACUUGAGCCAGCUUCAUCUGAGAGAUGGCAUAGCCCAGCUGUGAGCAAGAAGAUUCAAAAGCUAAAGGCUUCUUUGUCUCCAGAUCAUUUCUGGCAGGUCCUGAUACUCCAAAGCAGAUUUUUCUUCAGGUGCCCAAUAAUAUAGUAAAAUUUCAAUGAAACUGGCUAGAAAUGAAAGCUCCUUUAACUCACUCUGCAUUUGCAAAUGUAGGAAAUCGUCUUUCAGUGACAGCUCUGUUCAGCAGAACCAUCAUGAGUUCACUGGCCCCCCCUGCAGUUCGGGAACUGAGUGGCCAGUGUGGCUCUUCACCUGCCACUCUUUAGAUGUGGAAAAAGAGACCCAGAGGAGUUUUCCAAGAUGCUGUCGGGUUAGAAGAAGAGCGAGUUAAUGCACCUGACUGUGCUGUUUUUCCUUUGGUGUUCGGAUAGAGAGAAUUUUAAAUUCACUUUUUGCUCUAGGUACUAGCAAGGGUUUUAGUUAUUUUUUAUUUUAAAAACCUGGGAAGGAAGAGGGAUGACCUGACCAUUUUCUAACCAAUGCGCUUGACAUUACUUCCUUGUGGUGCUGUGUCCACGGGACUGACUGUAAUUCCUUCUGAGUUGUGCCAUACCACUGAAUCCACUGAAGGCAGCCUUACCUUUUGGAAGGCAGAUGAGAAGAAUUAAGAGAUGUAGAAAUGCAAUAAACACACAGCUGGGUUUGUAGGACCUUAGUCUAGUGUAGAGAGAGCUGGCUGCCAACAAGAAAUAGCUGUGUCCACAGUAUUCUCAUUUUACCUUAGUGCUCAGGCAGACCCUGUGAAGGAAAUUAAUUCAAAUAGAGAGGUAGAAAAGUCUCUACCUGAGCUUCCCUGAGGCUGGGGAAGAAGAUGAGGGCAAAUUGAGCACCUGGAGACCAGAAUAACUAAGGAAUUGUGCCUGCUUACACUUUGCUGGAGAGAUUGUUAGGUCUGGCAUACAUUUUUGGGCGUUGAUAUGAUUCCUUACUUGGUUUAGGUCAACUGGUUGUAUGGCAGGGAGACACUGUAUUCUCACCUCAGGAAUCUGGCUGCCUUUUUCCAUCCCAGGCCCUCCCACUUAUUUUGAGAGCUCAGGCAAGUGGGUUGACUCUCUUGGUUCUUUUAUAGGGAUGUGUGUGGAUUAAAUAAGAUCAUGCAUGUAAAGUAUGUAGCCCUGUACUUGCCUUAUCAAGAUAAGCCUAGGACUGGUUCUGCAGGUUCUGCAAUGAUCAGAGACCCAGCCUCCUCUAGCUUGUUACUUUGUCAUCUUCAAUAUAUGCCCUCCAUCUCCUGGUCCAAGAUGGCUGCUUCAGUUCCUGCCAUCAUUUCUGCAUUCCAGCCAGUAAGGGAAAAGAGGAUAUGGAAGGCAUGCCUGUUUCCCUUAACAAUGUGGCCUGAAAGUUACUCACAGCACUGUCUCAUCUCAUUGGCCAAAGCUCACUCAUGUGAUCACAUUAUUCCUGAGUGAGGUGGGGAGAUUUUUGUCUUUAGCUCGAUGUCCAGCUAAAAAGCACUAUUAUAGAUCAGGUGUGGUGGCUCAUGCCUGUAAUCCCCCACACUUUGGGAGGUCGAGGUGGGUGGAACACUUGGGGACAGCAGUUCGAGACCAGCCUGGCUAACAUAGCGAAACCUCAUCUCUACUAAAAAUACAAAAAAUUGGCUGGGCUUGGUGGCACACUCCUGUAAUCCCAAAUAAUCAGGAGGCUGAGGCACGAGAAUCUCUUGAACCCAGGAGGUGGAGGUUGCAUGAGCCGAGAUUGUGCCACUGUACUUGAGCUUGGGAGACAGAGCAAGACUCUUCUCAAAGCAUUAUUACUGUAUAAGAAAGAGAGGUGGGAUGCUGGGGACCAUUUGCAGUAUCUAUCCAAGAGUUAAAUGCUCAGUAAAUGUUAGUUAUCACCACCACCACCAGCACCACCAUUGUAAUCAUCAUGAUCGCCAUCAUUUCUGCUCUUAGCCUAUAAAUUCCUCCAUGUCCUUACUUCAUAUUUGGUCCCCUAUUUUCCCUUAUAGCCCAUGUUAGCUUGUGCUUUGUUCUAUUAUUGUAUCAUUUGCCCCGUCCAUGUCUUGAGACCUUUUUAUACCCAGAGGUUGGCAGUAUAACUAGAGUCCUACAAUAAGCUCCCGUGUGAUGGAAAUGGAGGUUAAAGCUGGUGAGGACAUUGACAGUUUAGGGAGACUAGAACAUAAAGUCUUAGUAGCCCACACGGCAGCUUCAUUAAAGUACUACAGGAAAGGUGACAGAAGGAAAAAAAAAGUCUAGCUACCUUUAAAUGUAGGUUAAGCACUUUUUUCAUUUUGUCGUAUUCUUUCCACUCACUUUUGUGAACUUCCACUGAAGAUUCUGUGAAUCUCCAUAGAGUUCUCAAAGCUUCAGUCUGGAUAUCCAGCCUCCUGACUCACCUUUGGGAUUUCCGAAAUAGAAUAGGUUCAAAAUCUGUGGCCUUAAGAAGGUAGCGGAGGCCAAGUUUCUUUUGGUUCAGAAGCACUUUGAGUAUAUAAAUGGAUUCGUGCUGUAGACUCUGAUUCAUGAUUUAGAUGUUCUGCAAGAGGUUUUCAGGAUGGAGAUGGUUCAUUGAAAUUUCAUGUGGAUUUAAGGCUCAUUAGGUGUUGGGAAAGCCGGAUGCCACUCUCUCGGUACAAAUCCCAGUGAGGCUAAUUUAGUGGAGCUGCAGCCAGCUUUCAUGUUUUUCAUCAGCCACACUGACCUUCAUCUCUUCCCUUCUCCGUUCUAAAAUACCAUAUCAGAAAGUGACAUUUUUCUCCUAAGGGAAGAAUUGCUCAAAGAUGAUGGCCUGCCUUCUUUCUACCAUAGUAUUUGUCUUUAAAGAUGAGGCGACAUGGUGGGUGGGCAUGGUGGCUUAUGCCUAUAAUCCCAACACUUUGGGAAGCUGAGGUGGGAGGGUUACUUGAGGCCAAGAGUUUGAGACCAGCCUGGGCAACAUAGUGGGACCUUGUCUUUAUAAAAAAUUUAAAAAAUUAGCCAGGUGUUGUGGUCCAUGCCUGUCCUCCCAGCUACUUGAGAGGUGAGAAGAUUGCUUAAGCCCAGGAGUUUGAGGCUGCAGUGAGCUAUGACUGUGGCAACAGAGGGAGACCCUGUGUCCAAAAAAAAGAGAGAGAGAGAAAAAAAAGAUUAAGUGACAUGGAGACAAAGGAUGAGAAAAUCCUGCAAAGAAAGAUUGAAGUUGUUGUUGAUUUUUUUUCUCUCACUCAUUCUUUCUUCUUUUCAGUCCCUGUGGAUGUUCCCUGAGAGCUCUUGGGAAUUCCUCUCAUUCUUUUUUUUUUUUUCCUGUUGCUUUUCUAAUUCAGGCCCACAGUAUCCCUUGCUAGGACUAGUACAGUAGUCUUCUGGUUUUCUGGCCUCCUGCCUCUUCUCCAUCCCGUACAUGUUCUCCCUGCACUGAUCUGGCCCAGUCACUCUCUGUUACACACAGUCCAUUCUUCCCAUUACUGUCCUUGAUGUGAUGAGGUCAGCCUUCCUUGGCAUGGGGUCCAACACCAGACCAUUACUAUGGUUGUUUGCUAACAGCCAGAAUAGCUGGCAUCGUGGUAGGCAUUGCUUUUAACUCUAUUUUACAGUGGAGGAAAUGGAGGUUAGAGGGCUCACGUCACUUGCCCAGUGGUCCCUGCUAAGAAGUGAUGAAACCAGAAUUGGGCUCUGGGCAGCUGUGCUCCAGAAUUGGUGCUCUUAACCCCUGUAUCAUGUGUUGGCCUCAUCUCUGUCUGUCCUCUUCUCGGGCUGCCUCUUUCCCUCACACCCUGACUUCCAGCACCACAAAUCGGCUUUCAAGUCCUUGUCUUGUUGCCAUCAACAGCAUGACUUGAAAUUGUCCAUGUUGCGGUGUCUGAACUUUCAUAUUUGCUGUCGUCCCUGCCUGGAGUGUCGUCCCUCUCCAUUUUGACUGACAAAGUUUCACUCCAAGGUCUAGUUCACAGCACCCCUGUGAUGAUUCCCACUCCCACUCCCAGGUUCCAAACUCAAUUUUUAAAAUGUUUACGAGUUUAUUACAAAGGAUACAAAGGUCCAUAGGUCUGAUGCAGAGGUCCAUAGGGCGAGGUGGGGGAGGGGUGCAGAGAGUCCAUGCCCUCUCCAGGCAUGCCACCCUCCCACCACCUGUGUUCACCAGCCCAGAAGCUUUCCAUCCCCCUUCCCAAGCCCAAAUUUUUACACAUCCAUUUGUUUUAAAAAUAGCCAAAACAAGCAGCUUUCUAGCCAUUCAGGGCCUGCCUACUUUGCAUACCCCACAGAACUAUACCCACCAUGUGCCAGCCGUUGAUGAGACAGAGCUUUGUGAUUAUAAGACCCGAGACUGCUCACUGACCCAAAUGAUCUGGCAAUGCUCCUGUACUAUAUCAUACCCUGCAAGUCCCCUCCCCACUCUGGACAGUGGCCCCCACACCCACCGUAACCCUCUGGAUGGUCUCAUGCUAGGAGGGACUUCCCUCUCAUGCAACUGUGUCCAAGUGCUGUUGUGUGUUACUGCCAAAUCAUUUUUCUUUUUAUUUCUUUUUAGAGAUGGGUUCUCACUAUGUUUCUCAGGCUGGUCUUGAACUCCUGGGCUUAAGCAAACCUCCUACCUCAGUCUCCUGAUUAGAUGGGGCUAACAGGCAUGCACCACCAUGCCUUGCUUCCAAAUCUGUUUUCCAAUUACUCAAACCUAUACCAUCAACAAAUUCCAUCACUCUGUUUUAUAAAUUUCCAUGGUAUUUUGAACAUGCCUCCAUGACUGAACUCAUCACAUCAUGCCAUAGUUUAUUGAAUACUUGAUUGUCAUCCCUUUGGAUUCCUGACCAAGACUUGAGGAAGCCGAGCAGCCCUGGGUUGGGAGGCAGAAGUGUAAUGGACUCGUAAACAUGAUCAGGUGUCCCCAGCAUCAUGGAUUCCUUUGUUGUUUUGUACUUGGCUGUGAUUUAUCUUGGUUGAUGGCAUCAAGCAUGAAGCCAUCGGCAUUUUGUGAAGCACCUGGGGAGAUCUUUAAGUUUAAUUUCCACUGACCCUGAAAAUGUGACCAGGUGAAAUGUAGGAGGCAGGGAGGAUUACUAAAAUGGAGACUUUUCAAGGCUUAUUUGGAUGGUUCUUUUGUUUUCUGCCACUCUCUCUUAACCUGGACUUGAAAACUAAGAAAAUGAAUGAAUGAAUGAAUGAAUGAAUGAAUCAGUUGAGUGGAAGUAUUAUUCACAUGGUAAUGAUUCUUCUCAGCACUUUUUCUUCCAAAUUGUGUUCCCCGAAGACAGUUGGGGUCUUAGGUGGUUCAUGGAUCAUUAUCACUUGUUGGGGACAGUGGAAAGAGCUGGUUGCAAGUGUCAAUCAAGAAGCAAGGAAAAGAAGGCACACUGAAAUGGCCUCAGUCCGUGGAUGUUCAGAGAGAGACACAGGCAGAUUUUCUGGAAUAAGUCUUUUUGGCUGUAGCUCAUCUCCUGUUACAUAAAUUUCCAUUGGAUUGGGCAAAGGCUGGGAAACUGAAGGCAUUUAUUUAGAAUAAACUAAAAUUUACCCCCAUCCCCAAAUCCUUUCAAUGAAAUUAAAGUUACUAAUAAUGAAAGAAAGAUCUUGGGUUAGUGGAGAUGGAUUUUUUAAUAGAAAAAGGAACACUAAAAUGUGGUUUUCUGAAGCCUUUCGCAAGGUGCAUGUUGAAAUAACUGAGUUCUUUUUUUCCUUUAACAUUAUUAAUGUUAAUACAUUAUUAACAUUAUUAAUAACAUUAUUAAUGUGAUAUAAAGUUUUAAGGAUAAAUAAAUGUACUUAGCAAAAUGACAUAUUUCAGCAAUGAAUUUGCUUUGGAAGGAUAGUGAUGGAAUCAAUAUCAAGGACUCUACCCCUCAUUUUCAUUUUCUUUGACAGUGUGAUACGGGCCACAAAUGAGGACCUUGACCCUGAAACCGUCUGUGGUUUCCCUAGCAAUUCUCACGAUUUAGCCUCUUCCUCCUCCUUCCUUCAGAACCCAGGAAAUAGAGCAAGAACAAUUUUUCAGCAUUAUUUUUCCAAGUUGCAGUUUGUCACUUGCUGCUCACGGUUCCCAUUUAGUGAUUUCCAUUUCACUGAAAUCUUGCUUAGUGAUUUUAGAAUUCAUUCCUAUCACAUUACAAACACGUACCCGAAGGUUGCCAGGUGGAUGGAUUUCAGUUGAUCCUGCUGAGAGGGCGAGAGAAGCCACUGUCCUCUUUAAUGUCUCCUCCGUGGAAGGAAGGAUUCGUCAUGUAAUCCCGUAUCAUGGUGUGAGUGGUGAUGGCCUUGAAGCUCUGCUAAUCUCCAGACUGGCAGACUGAAUAGCAUACAGCGUGUGUAGGCUGAUUUCUUGGGAGCUUUUGUUUUGAUUAUUUUCAUUUGCAUACUGAUUUAUUAAGCACCAGAAUGUAAGGGCUAGAAAUCUUUUUAUUUCAUCUUAUUAAGAAGCUCAAUUAUUCUCCCUUCAUAGAAGCCAAGUUUCUGAUUAGCUAUACCAACCCCAUCUCCAUUAGGCAAUUUAAGAUGUGAAUUAUACAUUUUUUAAAAAGUGGCUAAUUAUGGUAAAGGCUGACACAUUUGUAUUUCUGUGAAACCCCAGUGGCAAAGAUUCUGGCUAGAAUAUGACAUUAUAUGGGGUUGUAAAAUUACUCCUCGUGGAGCUGUUUCUUCAUGUUGUAAGAAAACUUGUAAAUGUGAAAAGAUUGUAUUUAUGCCUUCUGAGCCUCCUUCCCUGUGCCUCACCCGCCCUUGGGAGUCUGGGCUGAGUUAUGGUGUAGGGGCUCCGUGCUUGACGUUCUCAUGGAGAUGCCCUCGUCCUCCUGGAUUUCAGGGUGGAAGGAAUGGGAAUGGAAGAAGACAUUGGGGUCUGACGCUGUCUUCCUGUUGAGACGGCAGCUUGUUUUGGGGACUUUCAGCAGACCGUCUGUCCUUAGUGCCUCAUGGGCUGCUAUGCACUGGGUCUUAACUGCAAACUGCUUUAGAAUAAUCUGGUCUUAAUGUCUGGGAAUUCUAAUCUGUGCAUCCCAGUGAGGUCCUUAGACCUCAGGGCCAGAUCUCACACUGACUCUCUUUGACUGUGCUGCAUUCCACAGGCAAUGUGGAAUGUUGCUUACCUCAAGGAACAUAAACCUUACAUUGUGGAAUAGAGGUAUUUGCAAAUAUCUUCUCCUCUCCCAUUACCAAGGUGACUCAAUGUCUGCUAAAAUUGUAUCCAUAUGGGUAUACUGAGCAGAUGGGGGGGGCGGAAUGGGUCGAAAAGUACCUUGUGUGUGUUUGUGAUGCCAUUUAUCCAGAGCGAACCUUGGAGUUAUAAACCAGGGCUUUAUUUCCUAAACAGUGGCAUGUAUUCAUUUAUGGCACUAUAGAAAAUUGAAUACAUACGUGUAUUUAUGUGCAGACAUAUGAAAGAGAUCAUAGCUCUGGAUUCAAUGUGAAUGAAAAGCAGAUUCAUUCUAGAGUCCCAUAGACAGUGGAUUGUGAAGGACAAGCCUUUUAUUAUACAAAGUUUACUUUCCUCUAGGACGUCUAUUAGUUCAGCUGUUUUCAGUGGUGCAUCAGCAACAUACAGAGGGGAUAUGCAUUAGAAAUGAGGGCGAGACUACAAUUUGAUAAAACAUAUCAAAUGACUCUGCUGUUUUUUUCCAUACAAAAUACAGACAGCAAAGCUGGACAAGUCUUGCUUGGCAGGGACAGACUGGGAAAGCAUCUUAGGGAUGAGGGCUCAGAAAGGCUGAGAUAUGAUGCCUUGGGGCUCAUGAGAAAUAGUGUUUGCUCAAACCCUUUCAGGAAAAACUAUGACCACUUAAUUAACUUUAAGCCUGGUGUUGUUAUAGACCCAGGAUUUAGGUCUAAUGAGGCCAUUUGUGUAGAACUGCCCAUGAGUUGAAGCCCAUCGUUGCUUGGCAAAGACUUCCUAUGCGAUGUGUGGUCACAGGACCAGUAUAUCAGCACCACAGUUGUUAGAUGUUAGCACUGCCACUUGUUCCCUAGGCUGGAGUGCAGUGACGCCAUCAUGGCUCACUACAAUCUCAAAUUCCCAGGCUCUAGUGAUCCUCACACCUCAGUCUCUUGAGUGGCUGGGACCACAGGUGUGUGCCACCAUGCCUGGCUAAUUUUUUUAUUUUUAAUAAUGAUGAGGUCUUGCUAUGUUGCCCAGGCUGGUCUCGAACUCCUGAGCUCAAGUGGUCCUUCUACCUCGGCUUCCCACAGAGCUGGGAUUACAGGUGUGAGCCACCCGUUGUUAACAUCGUACAUUAGCAUGGAACGUUUGUCAUGACUAAUGAACCAAUAUGGAUACAUUAUUAUUAACUGGAGACCAUAUUUUAUUUAGAUUUUCUUAGUUUUUACCUAAUGUUCUUUUCUUAUUCCAGAAUUCCAUUCCACAGUUGUUAGACUGUUAGAUGUUAGUGUAGAAUCUCAGACCUCACUUGACCAUGUGAUGUACUUGUGUGAAUCAUGCACGCCUUUGCUUCACUGUUCUUCCACAUCAUCCACAUCAGCCCUUGGUCCCGAGUCUCACUUUCUUCUUUGAUCGGGAGGAGUCUGGAUUUUGGAUCUGGUCAGAACUGUGCUCAGCUUGACUCUGCCUGUCUUUUCAUUGUUCUGAAGUACUUUCCUCUUCUAUAAAGUGGAGACACCAACAGCAGGGCUCUUUAGAGAAUAUUUAUAAGGCACCUGGCUUAGAGUGAGGCAUAUAGAAGAUGCUGGUUAUUACUGUGACAGCGGUGAUGUUUAUGUCCCGUCUCCCCUGCUGGUUGUGUGUUCCUUUGAAAGAAACUUCCUUUCUGGUUCAUCCUUCUGUUCCUCCAGGCCUGCUUCUCUGUGCCUAGAACAUGUUUGAUGGCUGAAGGGAUAGUUAUGCAGCAUUAGCAUCUGUACCUUAAGAUCCUUGAUCUCUGGGAAAUUCAGUUUGAGUCAGCGGCAGCAGUCCUAAUAAUCUUAGCUCCCCCAGGAAGCAUUCUAGAACCUGUUAGGAAACAAUUCCUUCACUGUCAGGUUCAGGCAUGUCCCUGGCUGUCCUCUGAUUACAUACCACAUUGCACACAGGUGUGUGGAACAGAAAGGGGUAGUUGCUGAUAAAAUACCAGCUCAGGGUUUCCAUUAUCAUGUCACUCUGGAAUGAGAUAGAAAAUGAACAGCCCAAAUAACAGACUUCAAACAUCCAUCAACGUGGGGAGGUGUCAUCUUGGAUUGGGAUUGUGGCUCUGAGAUACAGAAGACCUAAAACAGCAGGACCUAAGAUGGUGGGCUGGGGCUGUCCAUAGAAACAGCCGGCCAGGCAAGUGCCCAGCACUGGCCGUGAGAUACCCCGCUUGUGGGUAUCUCUUCCCACCAAAUUAGGAGAUAGUGAGGCCAAGUAGUUAACAGGGUGGGCUCUGAGGUCCAAUGACCUGGGUUGGAAUCUUAGCCCUGCCUUCUAGUAGUGGGAUCACAGGCAAGUUACUAAACUUUACCAACUCACACCACUCACAAGAACAGUAGAACACUGGCCCUGCCUGGUUGAGUGGCUAUUCAAUAGAAUUUUUUUAAAAACCCUUUAAUGCAUUUUUCAUUUGUAAUAUGUUUAAAAUUAGAGAAAAGUUGUGAAAAAAUACAGUUUCCAUCUACUCCUCUGUGUCUGCACUUAACAUAUGACAACUCGUGCCCUGCCUUUUUUUUUUUUUUUGAGACAGGAUCUCACUCUGUUCCCUAGGCUGGAGUGCAGUGAUGCCAUCAUGACUCACUAUAGCCUCAAGUUCCCAGGCUCUAGUGAUCCUCACACUUCAGCCUCCUGAGUAGCUGGGACCAUAGGUGCAUGCCACCGUGCCUGCCUAAUUUUUUUAUUUUUAGUAGAGAUGAGGUCUUGCUAUUUGUCCAGGCUGGUCUUGAUCCUGACCUCAAGCGAUCCUCCCACCUCAGCCUCCCACAGUGCUGGGAUUACAGGCGUGAGCCACCUGCUGUUGUUAACAUCUUCCAUUAGCAUGGCCAUUUGUCAUGACUAAUGAACCGAUAUUGAUACAGUAUUAUUAACUGAAGAUCAUAUUUUAUUUAGAUUUUCUUAGUUUUUACCUAAUGUUCUUUUCUAAUUCCAGAAUUCCAUGUAAAAGGUCACAUUAUGUUUAGCUGUCGCGUCUCCUUAGGCGUUUGGCUCUGGCAGUUUUCAGACAUUUCUUAUUUCUGGUGAUCUUGCCCAUUUUGAGGCUUGUUGGUCAGGUGUUUCGUAGGACGUUCCUCAGAUGUGAUUUUUCUCAUGAAUUGACUGGGAUUUGGGGAUUUCAGGAGGAAGACCAGAGAGGUAAGGCUCUGUUCUCAUCUCAUCCUCUCAAGGGUGCAUCACUCUCUCGACAUGAGUUAUCACUGUUGAUGUUGACCUUGGUCCCUUGGCUAAAUAGUGUUUGUUGAGUUUUUCCAUGGUAAAAUUGCUCUUCCCCACUUUUUCCAUACUGUAUUCUUUGGGAAGAAGUCAUACACAGCCUACAGUUAUGGAGAGUGUUCAAGAGAAUAGAUUUUUUUUUUGAACUUUGCCCAUCCGUACCUUUUUCAACAUUUUCUACAGCUCACAUCCUGUUAAAAUCCACUUUCUUUUUUCCUCACCACUAGAUUGUAAUCUCCUUCUUGGAAAAAGCCAAGGCUGAUUUGUGUAAACAAUGUAGGUUCAUUGGCCAAGUGACUUGACAUUUCAGACCAGUUCCCCCGAUUGCCAGUGCAUAUCCUAAUUCGGUAUUAUAACGUCUGGCAGUGAGAAACAGAAACUUACUAUCUGUAUUUUGAGAAGUGUUGACUUUUGAGUAAUUGAGGCCUAGGAAGUCCAAGCAAUAACAGCAGUGAAAGCUCAUGCUUACACAGCACUUCUUGUAUUUCAGGCACUGUGUCUGCAUGUAACUUAUGCCAACUCAUUUAAUCCACACAGCAAUCCUAUAAGGCAGUCAUGCUUAUUCUCCUCAUUUUACAGAUGAAGAUACUGAGGCCAAGAGAAUUAUCAUACCCAAAGAAGUGUUGCUCAGGGUUACAGGCUCGCUAAUUGCAGAGCUGGGCAAUAGAAUUUUGAAAGCAAAAAGUUAUCUAUAUAUUUGCCAACUGUUCUUCUCUCUACCCACAAAUAGCUGCUAACUCCACUCUUCACUUUUUUCCUGUGAUAGCCCAGAGUCUAGACUUUGGAGCACCACAGCCACAGUGUUUAUUUCUAGUUCCAGCACUUGCCUGCUGUGUGACCUUGGGCAGGUUACCCCACUUCUCUGUCUCUGCAGCUGAAAAAUGGGGAUAAUAAUAAUAUUGGUACCUCCCUGGGAGGCUUUAAUAGGAUAAUGCACCACACCUAGUAGUUAGCAUUUAUUUUUUAUUUUAGCUUUUAUUACAAAUACAACUACUAUAUUUUCUGAAUUAAAAGUAGGGAGACAUGGAUGAAAAACUACAAGUAUUUGUAUAGGGAUGAUAAGAUGAAAUAUUUAAAAUAGGGAUUGUUUCCUAAAAGUAGCUGAGCAGUGAGAUUACAAAAUGCUUGUAAGAAAGAUGGAGGUGCCGAAUUGUGGAAGAGACUGACAAAGCCAGGACAUGCUAGGACCCUUGUCCCUGAGAAGGGAUGCAGCUCACACCCCCAAAAUUGUCAGCCACAAUGGCAUAAGUCAUAGCACAGCAUAAACUGAAAGACUUUGGUUCUCUUUUCAGACUUCUAAUUGUUAUCUAAAUACAGUCUUCCCUUGGUAUCCUUGGGGGAUUGCAUCCAGGACCUCCUAUGCAUACCAAAAUCCAUAAUGCUCAGGUCCCUUACAAAAUAGCAUAGUAGUAUUGGUUUUUUCCUUUCUUUAGAGACAGGGUCUCACUGUGUUGCCCAGGCUGGUCUUGAACUUGUGAGCUCAAGCAAUCCUUCUAUCUCGGCCUCCCAAAGUCCUGGGAUUACAGGCAUGAGCCACCACACCUGGCCCACAAUGGUGUAUUAAUAUUUGCAUAUAACCUGUGUUCCUCCUCUCCCAUACUUUCAAUAAUCUCCAGAUUACUUAAAAUACAUAAUACAGUGUCUACACAUCACUUCAUUUGCGUGAUUCAAUGUAGUACUUAUUGCACAGCAAAGUCAAAUUUUGCUUUUUGGAACUUUAUGGAAUUUUUUUCUGAAUAUUUUCCAUCUGAGGUUGGUUGAGCCUCUGAAUGUAGAACCCAUGAAUGUGGAACAUAUGAAUAUGGAGGCUGAUUGUACAGGACAAAAAGUCAUAAAUAAAAUGAAUGAACGAAGCCUACUUUGUUGAUGUAUAUUUAAAAUUUUCUUAUUGUAAUUUGGAAGCCAUAAAAAAAAAUAUAGGUAGUGUCUCAGAUUUCGGAAAAGUCAUUAUUUUCAGUUAAGAACCAUCAAUUCCUAGAUGUUUUAAUGUUAAUCUUCAGUUUAAUCAAUAGCUCUGGCAGGCCACCUUUUGGGGAGAGCCAUAUUCUUUGCAAAGAAAAAAUGAAAGUCAGAUAGAGUGUAUAUGUGUGCAAGAGACAGGAACCUCGGCCCAUUGGGCCACAAUGGCAGAUCCGUGGUGACCUGAGACCCCUCCCCUGUCCUCCUCUACCCCCACCUGGGUGAUCCUGUCUCAGAUUUGUGCCUCAGCAGAAUCAGAACGAUUGAUUACAUGUCAAGGUCCGCCAGGGACACUUGCAGGUGGGUGAAACCACAGUGUUCGGUCUGGGAAAGCCAAGGCUCCAUCCUCUCUAAUUAAAAAAUGAAUGAGGGCUGGAGGCAAAGGUCAGCCAGGGAGCAUUUUGACGCCCUAAAACAGCCCGUGUUUAUUACAUGGUCUUACCUGAUCAUGUGUGGAUUGAUGUGAAGGGGUGGAGUACAAAUGGAGCUUCCUCUCUAAGAUUUUGCUUCUUGAGUUAAGGUUGAGGCCAGGUCAGAAAAUCCUUUUUCAUCGGUAGUGUUUUGAUAGCAAAAGCAAAGAGCCAGUGGCAGAACUUUUCAAAUAACUCUUAGAAGACGACCCGGUAUCCCUGAAGUAUCCAGCACACCAGCUUGUAAGAAUAAAGGUCGGAACAUGACGCGUAUGUUCGUAUUCUGCAGAAUGUUUUAAAAGUAAGAAAAGUCUCUAGAAUUAUAUCCAGCGGCCCCCUACCCUGCCUUUUUAAGACACACACACACACACACACGCACACACACACACUUUAAAAGCUUUCAUGUGCCCUGAUCACGCUGUCCUCCUUUUGUGAUUAAUUGAGAGUCUUGGCUUUGCUCUGGAGAUGCAAAAAUCCUUGAGGUGACCUCCACGGAGUGUUGUAAACCUAAAGUGAUUCAUCACGUUUCAGUGAAGUUGACAUCUUAAAUGACAGUCCAGCUUGACAUCCCUUUUGCGGGUGUUUCUUCUCAGCCUGCAAGACCCUUUUCAUGAAACGCGGUCUAUGUUCGGCUUGUGUAGUCAUCUCGGUGCAGCCUUUUCUUUUCACUGUAACAACAUAGUGUAUUUCUUUAGCUUCUUUGCCUGAGUGUGUAGUCCGUGGUGUGCUAGUGGAUAUUCUGAAAUUGAGUUUUGGCCAUCACCUCUUGCUUUCAAAUCCCCCUGUUGGGGAUGGGAUAUUUACUUUGAAUGAAUUUGUCUGAAUUGUAGAGGCCCUUUUGCUUUGCUUCAUCUCAUGGGGGAAUUGGGAAAACAAAUGAGAAAAGGGCAGUACAAAUUAUUUCAGGGCAGCUAAUCUGGAGGAAAAAGAAGUAUUUUAGGAGUAAAGAGUGUUAUUAGCCGGGUGUGGUGGCGGGUGCCUGUAAUCCCAGCUACUCUGGAGGCUGAAGCAGGGAGAAUUGCUUGAACCUGGGAGGCAGAGGUUGCAGUGUGCAGAGAUUAUGCCACUGCACUCCAGCCUGGGAGGCAGAAUGCGACUCCAUCUCAGAUAGAGUGUCAGCUACGAAUUGCUAUACCGGAAGUCAUAACUGGAUGAUAAUAUCACCGCAUUUUACUUUCUAGCAACUUUUAUGUCCACUAUUUCAUUUUCAACAUCUUGGAUGUGUAGGACCAAGUUAUGAUAAGCAACAAACUUUGUCCUUCCUCAGUUGAGAAGAGUGACGCCUGCUUUUAAAUGGUAGUGCUGAACAUCAUGGAGGAUCGGCUAACAUUUGUUUUAGAAAUAAUUUACAGUUAGCCACUGUGGGAAAUGGUAUGGCAGUUCCCUCCAAAAUUAAACAUAGAAUUAUCAUGUGGUCCAGAAUUCUUCUUUGGUAUAUACCCAAAAGAACUGAAAGCGGGGACCUGAAUGGGUAUUUGCAUGCCUAUAUUCAUAGUGGCGUUAUUCACGAUAGCCAGAAGGUAAAAGCAAAUCAAUUGUCCAUCAAGGGCUGACAGGAGAAACCAGAUGUAACAAACAUGCAAUGGACUGCUAUUUCUUCGGCCUGAAAAAGAAAGAAAAUGUUGACACAUGCUACAACAUGGGUGAACCUUGAAGACAUGAUGCCAAGUGAAGUUAGCCAGACACAGAUGGACUAAUACUGUGUGAUCCCACUUAAUAAAAUGUGAAAAACACAGGCUAUUUUGGGAAAGACACACAGGAAACUGGUAUCAGUGAUUAUGCAAAAUUGCCCAGGACCUGAAGCCCCAGCGUCCAGCACAUAGUGCAUGUUCUGGAAAUACUAGUGAGGAGACAGUGGUUGCCUGGAUGGGUGGGAACCAUGGGGAAGACGUAUUUUUCGCUGUAUGAAUCUUUCAGUGCCUUUUGGUUUUCAUAUUGUGUGGCUUCAUUACCUAUUCAAAACGUUAACUUUUUAGAUGCAGUGGCAGUGAAGGUGGUAAAUGGAGAUGUAAGUUCCCUCUGAGGACAUUUUAGGACCCCCAAGGGUUGUUACUUUAAAGAGUAGUUGACGAUUGCACUAAAUCUUUGAGUCAUCCUCAUGCCUGAAGGGGUGUUGACUGGAACCCCCUCCCAUCCUUCUCUGCCCUGGACUUGGCUCAGAGUCUUACAGGAAUCCAGGAGUAUAAGUUGGGGGAAAUUAACACAUGUGGUUGGAUCCUGCCUGAUGUACUUUCUCUCUCAGUGGCAUCGUGAGACCUGAUGGCAGUCACUGAAGUCAUUGUAUACUUUUUUCAUGUCUUUCUGCUUCUUCGUCUGCCCAUCUCCCCUGCCCCAGCAACCAACAGAUUCCUUCCAAUCAAGGGGUUGAUUGUUUGAUUUUUCCCUUCACUUUUUUUGGGCACCAGUAAAGAUGUAUCUGAAGCAGGACGUGGUGGUGUGCACCUGUAGUCCCAGCUACUCGGGAGGCCAAGGUGGGAGGAUUCUAGGAAUUCAAGACUAGCCUGGGCAACAUAGCAAGACCCCACUCUGUACAAAAACUUUUAAAACAUUAGCCGAGCCUGGUGGCGUACACCUGUACUCAGGAGGCUGAGGCAGGAGGAUGGCUGGAGCCCAGAAGUUUGAGGCUGCAGUGAGCAAUAUGGUUGAAUCACUGUACUCCAACCUGGUCAACAGAGAGAGCAAGACCUACAAAAGAAAGAAAGAAAGAGGGGGCGAGAAGAGAGAGAGAGAGAGAGAGAGAGAGAGAGAGAGAGGUUGAUUUAGAUAAAGAAGGACCUGAAAAGAACUAAUUAAUGCUCAUACAUAGAAUUUUUGAUGAGAACCUUCUGGUUCCAAAGAAAGUAUUGGCCAGCUAUCCUGUGUAGGCUAAUUUCUCAGGAAAUAAUAAGUAUAGUUAAGGAUAACUGAGAAAAAUGUGAACCAUCGAGACUGUAUCCCAUAUCAAAAUAAAAAAUUGGUUGUAUUGAUGGGGAGAGAGGACGGCGAGGGAGAAAAUGUAUUUUGCUCUUGUAGAAAUCAGCAAUGUGAGCAGUCAAUGAUGUACCCUGGGGGUCGCAGUCCUCUCCCGGAGAUAAUGGAUUUGGUGCUUUCUUUUUGGUUUCUCAAAAUAAUAAUAAAGCCAUUUUCGCCUCCCUCUGAAUUACUGCAGUAAAUUUAUAUGGGGUGGAUGUUGGCCUUGCCACAGCAAUUAUGUGGUUUCCAAGUGUGCCAUUGUUUUGCCCUGUGGCUAAGAACUGGGUGGGUUUAUUAGAUGCACGGGACAGCGUCCUUUCUGAGAAGAGGGAGGCAUGCAGGAAUGGCCAGCAUUCCUUUUUGUUGGGCUUGUCCCUGUGGAUGGCAAGAAUCCCCCAGAGCCAUCCUGUCCGAGUAUCUCUAUUAUUACCCUGCAGAGUAAAAGGGAGACAAAAACCCAAGGUGAAUUUUGUUACAAAUUGAAAAACAAAAAAAAAUCAAUCAAUUCAUUGCCUUCUUAAAUUCACCGUCACGUUCCUCCACGCUCAGAGGUUUCAGGACCGUCAGGGAAUGGCUCCUUUGAGGGUGAAGAGGGCGGGGUCCGCCCUGUGAGCUGCCACAGGGCCUCUACAGAGCUGGCCAUGUGCUGGGCUUUAUUGAUAUCAAGUGUUGUGAACCUUGGACUUGAUCGAUCAUUUUGGCCUUCCCUUGUGGAGCCUGUCCAGGAGAAUGGAUGCGGACUGUGUUUGGAUGGAGGAAAAUAAAUUGUCCUUGGUCAGGUUUUUGAAAAUAACAGUCCUUGUCUCUCAGGUGGGCACAGGCUUGGUUGAUUGAUGGAGCAUCUAGAAGCCUUGGCUUAAAUAUAGAACAAAUGAUAUUGAGCUACUUCAUCUUACCCACUAUACCAGGUUCCAUAAAGAUGAUGCCUUGGCCAGCUCAGGCUGCUGUAACAAACUGUCAAAGGCACGUGGCUUAUAAACAAUGUUUUCCACAGUCUGGAAGCUGAAAGUCAGGGAUCAGAGUGGCAGCACAGUUGGGUUUUAGUGAGGCUCUCGUCUGGGUUUGCAGAUGGCUAACUUCUUAUAGCUUCACAUGGGAGAAGGGUGGCUGGAGAACUCUCUAGGGUUGGUCUCUCUCUCUCUCUCUCUCUCUCUCUCUCUCUCUCUUUCUUUCUUUCUUUUUUUUUUUUUUAAAAAAAGCAGUGUCUCAUUCUGUCACCCAGGCUGGAGUGCAAUGGUGAGAUCUCAGCUCACUGCACCCUCCGGCUCCCAGGCUCAGGUGAUCCUCCCAUCUCAGUCUCCAUGCGCAUCUGUAGGGUCUCUUUCAUAAAGGCAUCAGUCCCACUCAUGAGGGCUCCACCCUCAUGACCUAAUCACCUCCCACAGCCUCCACCUUCUAAUACCAGCAUAUUGGGGAUUUCCACACACACAUUCAGUUCAUAACAGAUGAGGAGCCAACAUUGUUGAACCAUAAGUGAUCAAUUUAUUUCUUGUUAUUUCUGAUGGAUCAAGGCAUGUAAAAGAUUUAACUUUCCUGGGCUGGAUGCAGUGGCUCAUACCUAUAAUCCUGGCACUUUCGGAGGCUUAGUUAGGACGAUCACCUGAGAUCAGGUGUUUGAGACCAGCCUGGUCAACAUAACAAGAGCCCAUCUCUACAAAAAACGCACAUACAAAAAUUAGCCAAGUGCAGUGGUGCAUGCCUGUAGUCCCAGCUACAUGGGAGGCUGAGGCAGGAGAAUCGCUUGAGCCCAGGAGCUCAAGUUGCAGUGAGCUAUGAUUUUGCCACUCAUCCCAGCUUGGGCAACAGAACUGUCUCAAGAAAAAGGUUUAAAUUUCCUUUCUAAGUUUUUCUUAGCUAGCAUAAUAAGGGAUAGUCUGAGCAACUCAGAGUGCCUAUUUAGAAAGCUCUGGGUUUUGCUUCAAUAUGGAUGGAAAGGGGGAUUGGAAAAGUUAACACAAAAGGGCACACAGUCUCAGAAAGGGCCAUUGCAGCACCUGGCGAUCUUUUUUUCCAGGGUGGAGAAAAGUUCCCUCUUUUUAGGCCACUUCCUGGUAGGUUCCUGCAGCUGCUUCGAUCCAGCCUCCUCUUAUCCCCACUGGACAAAACCAAAACAAAGCAAAACGAGACCAAAACCAAAAGAGAAGUGGUGAUAGGAUCAACCGUGUGUGUUUCCUUGGGUGGUUGGUACAUGCUCAGGACAUGAGCCCAAACUUGCUGUGACAAGUACGAUCCCAGGCUGUGCCUUUUAGAACAGUGUCCUCCAGAGUACUAGUGAAGUGGUGCUGAGAUUUCCAAAGAAUUUCUUUGCAGAGCAGGAUUUCUGAUUCUGGCAGAAACCAAGGGGAGAACUCACUUUUUCUAUUAAAGAAAUUAUCAGUAAUAAAGCACUCAGAUCUUUGGCUACUCUUGCAAAGACUGAUCUUUUUCUCUAGCUGAGUCUAGGAAGGAAUAUGAGUGUAUAGUGUGGUGCCAGUAAGGUUGGAAUUUUCUGUGAUGGGGGAGUUAUUGAGACAGGCAGAAAUCAUAAGCUCUUCCCGAGGAAUGGACACAGGAAAAAAGGAAUGCAGCCCCGGAAAGGGAGGUGUGCAGUUGCAGGAAGAUGGGCCAAGGAGAAGGUCUGAUUGCCAAGUAGACUGGAGCCCAAGUCUUUAGGUUUUCAAGUGGGUAAUUAGAACAGGAAGGAGCCAAAUGCAGGCCUCCCGGCAUCAGGAGCAGCAAGAUUUUCCAUUCAGGUUGCGUGUUUCAGAGCUAAGAUGGGUGCAUGGGAGUAUUUCCCUGGCCAGUUAACAAGUGCAGGCAUCUAAUUCCAUGCCCAUAACUGUGGGUGGGGGGAGCAGAGUGUAGGCAGAUGAGCAAAUGGGUUUUUCAUUCUUGAGCAACAAGAAGUCUUAGGCUAAAUGGUGAGUACCUGCAAACAUGAGAGAAUAGUACAAGACGGCACAGCUGAGUAGUACAUUGCAUGGUUUUGCUUCUAAGUGCCAGAAUCUCUGAGUAGUAUAUCUGACACCAGCACACUCUGGUAUCAGAAUCUUGGGUUUAUGUUCUGGCUACUCAAGCUGUGUGGCCCUGAGCAAAUUAUUUAUUUAAUCUUUUUGGGGUUUCAAUCUCCAUAGCAACAAAAUGAGAAUAGUUAUAGUAUCUAUCUCAUGAAUUUAUUAUGAGAAUUAAAUUAUUUUCUCUGGAUAAAAAGAAAAAGGUUCCUGAUUCUUGCUUUUGAAUACAGUCUUGAUAACCGGAAGUGUGGCAGCUCCCUUGUACACAUGAUGAAGAGUGUGAAGGGGAAAGGUUGAUAUGCAGACGAUGGUGGAUGAGAGGGUGAAGCUAGUGGGAUCCUUGAUGACUGUGGGGUGGCCAGAGCUGCCCUCCCACUGUCAGACUUUCUGAAAUCAGUCGCUGAUGCUUGGGCUUUCUGUUACUUUCAACCUUUCUUUUACUAAGAACCUUUCUGUUCUUAAUCGAUGCAGAUUUGUUGCCAGACUGUAAACUCACUGACGUCAGAGCCAUGUCUUAUUCACCUUUGGGCUCCCAAGGACAGCCUGGCCUAAUGCCCGGCACAUAGUAGGUGCUCAGUGGUUUAUGAUAAGAAGAUGUGUGGUUAGAAAGAGAGAAGAAGGUGAGAAGUCAGGUAGAAGUGAUGUGCUGGUAAAUGUUUAACAAUUAGAUCUCUGGGGAAAAAUUCUGAUUUGUAGCAUUUGCAAUUUUCCGUGGUGUAAAUAUUCCUAUAAUGGCUGAUUUCAUACUACCAGUGUGAUGUCAGUGAGCUCAGUGUUGGGAAGAGAUGGUCACUGUAAAUUCUAGAGAAUUGGUACAAUCUAACUCCAGCUCACCACUGGAAGGACGGGGGGAAAAAAGGGAGAGAGAAAAGAGAAGAAAAUUAAUUUGUUAUUAAAAUUAAUAGUAAUCACGGUGAUGACACUAACAAUGUUCAAAUUUACUGAGGGCUUCCUCUGUUUCAGGUUCCCCAGGACCCUCCUAGUGGUCUUCUCUUUGCAUCUCAUUGACCAGAACUGGGUUGCAUGGUCUUUCCUAGUUGCAGAAGAGGCGAGGAAAGUUUGGCCAAGGAAAAUGACCAUGCCGUGUCUUUCUUGGGCCAUUCAGGUGUUGUUCCUUCAGGCAAGGCCCCUUGCCUCCCUGAACACAGGCAGCCAUCUGUCAACCAAGGAGGAGGAGGACUGUGGGAUAAGCAAGAUUAUCUGAAAAGACAAGACCUUUCAAGCAGAAUGGGUUAUUUUUCAGACACAAAAUUGCCUUUUUAGCAAAGUGAACUAGACUCCUCAUCAUCAAAAUUCUAAAAUUUCUCACUGUGUUCUUUCAUUUUCAUGGAUAGCGCUCCAAACAUCAGACACUGACCUGGUCUUUCAUAUUGAAUGGUUGGUAUGAAAACCAAACAGGUUCCAACCACAGUGAUAAAUGAGGUGGGGAGGUGGGAAAUCUACACAGCUUGUCAGAAUGAUUGCAAUAAAGCAUCCAGGAAUGAAAACUGGAGCCCCGUGUGUGCAGAUGCACCAUGGUUGAGUCGCGCUGUGCAGUUCUGCAUGUGCUGGAGUGGGGAUGGCCACGACAGGAGUGAGGCGGGCAGAGUGAGGGGUGGGGCUGUCCACUGCAGAGUGCCUUCAUUACAGGUCAGCAUGCUCCUUUACAUACCCUGCUGGGCUAGUUGCUCACAUUGGAGAGUCUGGAGUUACUGCAAUUCUGUGGCAGGCAAUAGUUUGAGCAACUCAGAGUGCCUAUUUGGAAAGCUCUGGGUUUUGCUUCAAUAUGGAUGGAAAGGGGGAUUAGAAAAGUUAACACAAAAGGGCACACAGUCUCAGAAAGGGCCGUUGCAGCACCUGGCGAUCUUUUUUUCCAGGAUGGAGAAAAGUUCCAUCUUGUCAGGCCACUUCCUGGUAGGUUCCUGCAGCUGCUUUGAUCCAGCUUCCUCUUAUCCCCACUGAACAAAACCAAAACAAAGCCAAACGAGACCAAAACCAAGAGAGAAGUGGUGAUAGGUCAGAAAUAUCGAAGAAAAGAAAAUGGCUUAAUUGGGAUCAUUGCUGGGGGAAAGAAGGCCAGAACUGCACUGAGGGAUAUUCCCAUAGUCUUAGCAUCCUCUUCAUGAUUUCUGCAGAUUUUUAUAACCUGGUGUCAGUUUCGUUAAACAGACAGACUAACAAAUGAGAUUACAAGUGAUUUAUGGGUUCCACCUCAUAAGAGGUCCGGUGAGAGAAACAAAGGAAGGGAAGGAAUUGAUGUAAGGAGAUGAACAGUUCUGGCAGGAGGCGCCAUGGGAUAGACAGGCCUAAACUUUCUAUUGAAGCUGAUUGGAAGGCCAAGGCAGGAGGACUGCUUGAGCCCAGGAGUUUGAGACCACUCUGAGAAACAUAGAUCCCCGUCUCUACAAAAAAUAACAAAAAUUAAUCAGGUAUAGUGAUGCGUUCCCAUAGUCCCAGCUACCUGGGAGGCUGAGUGGGGAGGAUCUCUUGAGCUUGGGAGGUUAAAACUGCAGUGAGCUCUGAUCUUACUAUUGCAUUCCAGCCUGGGCGAUGGAGUGAGACCCCAUCUCCAAAAAAAAAAAAAAAAAAAAGCCUAUAAACAAAUCUGGAAGACAUGGACCCUGUUUUGAAAUGAUGACUCACUUCAGCUAGAGGAGAAGCCUGGUGGCACCAAGGUUAAAAGAUGCCACUCGUUAUUUCUCAGCAGGAUGUAAAUUGCACUGGAGGUCAGAAUCAACACCUACCUGACCUCUCUGGGCUGUUUGUAAAACUAGAGGCACCCCUUGUAUCCACGCCGAGUCGAUGUCCAGAAGAACAUUGGUUGAAGGCAAUAGUUCUUUUAGGCUUUGCAGUGUAGAGCUGUGACCCCCAGUGCAGGAGUAGCUUGGUUCUUUGUUGUUUGAUAGUGUUUCCGGGGUCGGCUGGCAUUUCCCCAUAUGGUCUGACCUCCCGUGUUAUAAAGGGCAAAACUAAGUUAGAGAGCCGCAUCUGAGUAUUCAGUCAUCAGCCAAAUAUUUUGAUCUUUAUCUGAGCAGAAUGGAAAAUGUCCUACUUUGAACCUUGCCUUGUUCCUCUCAGGCAGCGGUUGGCAAACUUUGGGUUUAAAGAACCAGGCAGUAAACAUUUUGGGUUUUGCAGACCAUACUGUCUGUCAGUUUCUCAACUGUGCAGUUGUAGAGGGAAAGCAUCUAGAGGCAAUAAACAAAUGGGUGUGGCUGUCACCCACUCACACUGUUUACACACCAUUGUUUGCCAACCAUGGCUCUAAGGGGUCUUGGAAUGGAAAACUCUCUCUUGCCCAUAUGGAUCCUAAUGCAUUUUAAAAGUCAGUGCACUGUUUGGCUAAGAGACACUUCACCUGAAAUCAGAGUGAAGAGCAGAAAGGGACAGGGAACUCCUUCUUAUUUCGUUGACGGUCAAGGGGUAAAAGAGGCAGACGAUGUCGCUGCGUCACUUUAUAUGAGUAUAUACAAUUGUAUGGUGCAGGCUUUAACUUCUCACAAGUGAUGUCCACAUGUUUUGUGUCAGCUGGCUGGCCAAAGUUUAACUUUACCCUAGGACUUCACUAAAUCUUCACAUCUCUCUUUUCUUUUCCCUCUUUCUAGUGGCCUGGAUAAAGAGGAAAAUAAGGUGAGUGCUGAUGGUCCCUUCUUGAGACACUAUAGCUUUUUUCGUAGCACUCUUCAGGCCUUGGCCGUAUUUCAAAGGCCACCUACUCUGUCAUAUUGAAGUGUGGAUUGGGAUUCACUUGCUAUCCUCCCAGAUUGGGAAUGGCUCUAUUAAGAAAGGAAAGCAGUUUCCAGUUCUACAGAUGUUCUGAUUUCCCUGGCAGACUUUCGACAGGAAAAAUUAAUAGGCAACUGCAGGUUGCCUCAAUCUGUUUUCACAUUAAGACCCCAAAGGAGGUGUGGGGUCAAGCUGACACCUCCUAGAUCCGCACACUAGGGUGAGGGCCUCCGAAUGCUGACAGGUAGUGUGCAGGGAAGUUGGCUGGUUUUCAACGUAUGUCCUGUGACUGCUUGCUUUCGUAAUCAUCUAUUGGUUAUGGAUGGUUAGAGAGGUCAGCUUCAAGCAACAAAAGCCCUGGCUCAUGUUGCUAGAAUCACCCAGUCUUGCAAGAAGAGAUGAGAUAAUCACCCUCCUUCUUUCCGACUUGAGCUGUGCCAAUGUAACUUAGAAGGGCAUCCUCUCUGUGAAAAGGCUGGAUUGACAUAUUUUGCUAAUUACAGCUGUCAGAUUCCUCGAAGUGAUUUAAGGGUGGGGAGGCCUAACAAGUGUGAAGAGUAUUUUUAGCCAAGUUGUGUGGGUUUGAUAGCCAUUUGGGGACUAGUAAUUGAAUCUAAAACUUCAUGUGAGGCCGUAUGGAAGUGGUGCGAGGUGGAAAGAGACCAAGGUGGGGCGACGUGGGUGUGGGGCAGCUGUGGGGUGAUUUGAUACUGGUGGUCUCCUUGCCUGCUGUGACAGCUGUCUGUCAGCCUGCUUUAUGGGGUGUGAAAUUGACACCUUCUCUGCUGUCUGGGUGCUGGAAGGGGUGCAGUUGGAACUGGAAACUUGAUCUGCAGAGCAUUCGUUUGUUUAUUCAUUCAACAAGCAUUUUUUGAGUAAGUUAGAGUUUCUCAAACUUUCUUGUACACACAGAUCACUAGGAAGUGUUGUUAACAUGCAGAUUCUGUUGGUAGAUCUGGGGUGGGCUGAGAGUCUGCCUUUCUAACAGGUUUCUGGGUGAUGCUGAUGCUGCUGGUCCAGGGACCAUACCCUGAGUCAGAAGGCCUAACACUGUAUGUCACUUUGGUGUGACAAGAUGAAACACUUGAGCUUGUUCCUGCCUCCAGACCUUCCUUUCCCAUUUGCUCAGAUGUUCUUCCUCUGGAUCUUUUUUGUUUUUUGUAUUUUUUUUUUUUUUUUUUGAGACAGGGUCUUACUCUGUCACCCAGGCUGGAGUAUAGUGGUACAAUCACAGCUCACUGCAGCCUUGACCUCCUGAGCUCAAGCCAUCCUCCCACCUCAGCCUCCUGAGUAGCUGGGACUACAGGUGCACACCACCACACCUGACUAACUUUUCAUUUUUUUGUAGAGAUGGGGUCUCAUUGCAUUGCCCAGACUGGUCUCAAACUCCUGGGCUCAAGUGAUCCUCCUGCCUUGGCCUACCACAGUGCUGGGAUUCCAGGUGUGAGCUGCCAUGUCCAACCUUCCUCUAGGUCAUUACUCAGCUGUCUUCCUUUCAUUCCCAUCUCAGCAAAAAUGUUGCCACCUAGAGAGACUUUGUUUUCUCCCAUGGCCCAAAUCUAAAGUAGCUCCCACUGCCUGUUUUAGCUCUUAGAAGACAGCCUCUGAGAUGAUCUUGUUUUCUAUUUCUCUCUGUCUCUAUGAGAAAUACAAGGAGAGAUGGAAAAGUCAGUAACUAGUUAUAACUGUGGUGUUGAGACGCAGUAUGAGAAAGAGUAGACCCCAGGCUGUCUCUAAAAUCUCUUGUGCCUCAGUUUUCUCAUCAUUAAAAUGAGGUUAAGUAACAGUACCUUCCUUGUACAUCUGUUGUGAGGAUUAAAUGAGCUAAUAAAUGUAAAGACUGAGCAAAGUACCUGGAAUAAAGUGGACCAUCAGGAAAUGUUAGUUGUGAUGAUGAGGAUGAUGAAGAUGAUGAAAUGGUGGUGGUGGGGAUGCUCAUGGUGAUAGUUAUGGAGGGAGAGCCUAACUUCUCAGGGAGGGUUUCGUAUAGGAAGCGCACUUUGAGCUGAAUUUCCAAAGGCAAGUGGUAAUGCCCUAGGGCAAUGUCUUAGUGACCAAUGCUGUUGCGUUAGUUCAAUCUCAUACUGCUAUAAAGAACUACCUGAGACUGGGUAAUUUAUGAAGAAAAGUUCCACAGGAAGCAUGGCUGGGAGGCCUUAGGAAACUUACAAUCAUGGCAGAAGGUGAAGGGCAAGCAAGCAAAUCUUCACAUGAUAACGCAGGAGAGAGAGAGAGAGAGAGAGAAUGAGAGAGAGAAAGAGAAUGAGAAUUAGGGGGAGGAAGCCACACCCUUAAACCAUCAGAUCCUGUGAGAACUCACCAUCAUAAGAACAGCAUGGUGAAAAUCUGUUGCCAUGAUCCAAUCACCUUCCAAUGUUAGAUCCCGCCCCCAACAUUGGGAAUUACAAUUCAACAUGAGAUUUGGGUGGGGACACAGCCAAACUGUAUCAGCUGUAUAACAAAUUGUCACAAAUCUAGCAGCUUAAAACAGCACAUAUUUAUGAUCUCACAGUUUUUGUGGAUCAGAAGUACAAGCAUGGCUUUGAUGGGUCCUCUGCCUUACCAUCUCUCUUAGGCUUUAGUGAGGGUGUCAGCCAUGGCUGGGGUCUCAUGAGAAGGCUUGACUGGGGAAGGAUCCAUUGCCAAGAUCACAUGAUUGCUGGCAGGAUUUGAUUCUUGCCAUGUGGGUGUCUCUGGGCAGCUCACAGCAAGGCAGCUUACUUCAUCAAAGCCAUUGAGAGAGAGUGAUGGCACAAGGGAAGUGAUAAUCUGAUGUAAUGUAAUCAUGCAAGCAAUAUAUCCUUGCCUUCGUUGUAUUCUAUUAUUUAGAAGCAAAUUAGGCUGGCUUAUGCUCAAGGGGGUUGGGGCAUUACACAGGCUGUGAAUACCAGGAUUUGGGGGUCACUGGGGGUUACCUUAGAGUCUUUCUACCAUAGAUAACAAGAGGGGAUCAAAGGUUUGAGAGGAGGGGCAAUCCAGGCAGAGGGAAGAGCAUGUGCCAAGGCCCAGAGACAGGGGCACCAUGUCCUAGAGAGGAAAUGCCCAUCUUGAUGGGCCUGGCUGACCAGUGAUUGGCAAAGUGAUUGGAGAUGAGGGCAGACCAGGAGCAAGGAUGCAUGGGCUCUGGUGCUGGCAUCACUGCUCCAGGUGAUGAUUCAGGGUACGUUCCUUGCUCUGGGCUUCCAUUUCCUCUGCUGCAUAAAGCAAGAGGCAUGUCCUGGAUCAGGCAUUUUCACCCUGGGUACCAGGGAACCUGAGGUCCCACAGAGAAAUCUCAGGGGCUGCUGGGGAGGAUGGAGGAGGAGUAAGCAUCCCCUGCCUCUCUGCCAGAGCAGCUCUGCUUCAAUCUGUGCAAUGAGAUUUCUGCUUAAGAUUUUGUUUUAACAGAGGCUUCCAGGACUUAAAAACAGGUGAAAAUGCCAGCACUAGCUGCCCUCAGAGAGCCCUCCUAUGCUGUCUCCAUGCGGCUCUGUUAUGGUUCCUGUGGGUUUGGGCCAGGACCAAAACCUCAGACCCCGAGCCAGUCAACCAGUGAUCCUGCUUUCCUCAUCCAGAAUCAGGAAAAAGAGGGACUCGAGGCUGCAGUGGGGUUCAUGGGGAGGUAUGUUACUGAGUUAGUGGAAACCCACUUUCCGAGCUUGUGAGCUCAACUGUUUCAUCCAUUCGCUCAGUUGUUCAUUUGUUCUUUUACUCACUCAAUGCUGUGUUAGGCAAAUGGCAGUCAGUGUUAAUGCGGGACUUAUCAAGUUCACCUCGAAAAUGUUUUGUCAAUGCCAAGCUUGUGAAAGCCACGCUUCUGAUUCCAGCCACGUCAGGGGGAGGUAGCAGUUGAGGUUGUGCACGCCGUGUGGCUUGCUCUCUGGAGGAAGGGCACCAUGCAGGGUCAGUGUCUCUAUUCUCUGGGAGAACCCAUGGAAGAGAGUAUCUGUGGGAAUGGUGGGCAGAAUGGGGACUGAAGAUGCGUAGGGCAAGGAAGAGUUGACCCAGAGAAGGGGGAAAUAUAAUUUUGUAAUAGGGAUUUUACUUUUUAGAUUUGUGGGUUAAAUUUCUGUCAUCUGGAGUGAUCCGAGAAGACAUUUCAUUCAUUUUCUAGACAGGAGGCACACACCUCUCCUUUUGCCUCUUUCUCCCUCAUUUCCUGUCUUCCUCUCUGCACAUUUUAACUUUAUAAAAGAUGCUGUUCUGUGUAGGGCUCAGAGCAACAGCUGGUUCUCUCUGGUUUGGGAACUGAUGGCCACUACCCAGCUGUGGGAUCUUGGACAAGCAGCGCAGCCGCCCUGAACUCAGAGGUCCAGGAUGGGGGUUGGGCCCCACCAUUUCGAAGUCCCUCAUGGCCCUGCCUGGGAGGCUGGGUUCUGACUGACUGCAGUGUCCGGAAGUAUUAAAAUUCAUUGUCUCCCCUGGAGCCAACUCUAGGCUCCAUUAAACAGCUGGUCCCCGAGGCAGAUGGAGCUGGCAAGGGGCCUGUCCUUAAAAGCAACAGGUUGUGUGUUGCCAGCCGCACAAAGGCAGCCUUGGGGAGUCCAGCCCCUGCUGCUGUCUGGGCAGAGUGCAGGUGGAUGAGAAAGGAUGGUGCCUGUCUCGCUGGAAGGGAGGGAGAGCGAUUACUGACAGGUGGUGGGAGGGGCAGCUCUCCUGAAUCAGACCCUGGAACACUUGGCCCAGGCAGCUGCAGUAUAUGUAUACAUUAGUUACACAUAUUGUCUCUAACAUCUAAGAUGUUAGAUCUUAGUGUGAGGCCCCAUGGUGCCCCAUUUUACAGAGGAGAAACUGAGGCUCUGAGACCUCAGGAGACUUAUUCCAGGUGGUUCAGCUGGCUCCCAGCUAAGAGGGAUACAGGAAAAGGAUGAGUAUGAUGCUGGAAUUUGGCAGGGUGGGUGUAUUAGGUUGUGAAGGCAGACAUACAUAUUCCCAUGAUCAUAAAGUGGGUUGCUUGAAACAGAAAUUUGUCCUCUAAUGGUUCUGGAGGCUGGAAGUCUGGGAUCAAGGCUUGGCUGGAGGUCCAAGUUCAAGACCAGCCUGGAAAACAUGGUGAAAACCCGUCUCUACUAAAAAUACAAAAAUUAGCUGGGUGUGGUGGCGUGCACCUGUAGUCCCAGCUACUUGGGAGGCUGAGGCAGGAGAAUCGCUUGAAGGCAGAGCUAAGAUUGCACCAUUGCACUUCAGCCUGGGUAAAAAAAAAGAUUUCCCUCUUCUUGUAAGGACACCAGUCAUUGGAUUAGGGCUCACACUACUCCAGUAUAGCCUCAUCUUAACUUGACAUUUGCAGAGACCCUUUUUCCAAAUAAGGUCACAUCCACUGGCACUGGUUGGCAGGCCUUGAUCUUGAAGGGAGAGGGUGGGAGAGGAGGAAACAUUUGUUGAGUGAAUUGAAGGAGUCUGUAGUGAAGGAGGGUGGAUUGUCCCUAGGAGGAGCAGGAGCAUGGUAGGAGGGAAGGAGGUGGGGAGAGAGGAGAGGGAACCAGCUCACUCCAUCUCACGCACCCGGAUUCUUCUUCCAGGGAAAUGUGGGAACUGAAUUAAUCCUGAAGCAUCCCCAGGUUUCUGUGAUUUUCAGUGUGGGCUGUUGCAAUCAGAGAAGCCUUCGUGGGGGUGUAGGUCUGACUUGGGGGAAGGAAGUGUAGAGGCAGGAAAGCAGGGCUUGCAUUUCUGGGGUGGGGACAGCCUGUAGAGAGGCCCAGAGCUGGAGCCGAGGGCAGUGCCACCCAGGGCCAGACAGGACCAGCUCUGCUGAGCUGAGAGGACCCUUUCCAGCCGUGGCAGCAGCGUCUGUCCUCCAGUUGUGAUGUGCGGUUUCUCCCCCUCAUCAGUAUUUCAGCCUCGGCUUUUGCACAGCACCCCUUCUGCCUCUUUGCCCUCCUACCCCAGCAGCCUCCGUGAAUAAAGGGAAGAGCUGAUGCCUUCCCGGCUGGUGGGUAUGCCAGGGCCAGAGCAGGACCUUGUAAAGCCUUUGCACCUGUCUGUGGCUUGAGAUGGGGGCUUCUUGAAACCGAACCCCCAGCCCUCUGCCUGGCUGUCUCCUAGUCUCCUCUGCACCUGUCUUAAUGAUUUGUUUUAAGGAAGAGCUGGGAAGGGGGCUUUAUGUUUCCUUAUUUUCUGAAUGAAGUUCAUCUGAAUUGUAUCAAUUCCUGCAAAUUGGAGGCUCCCAUGUCUGUACCCCCUCCCCUCCUCAAGUGUACAGAAUUAAUUCUGUUGUGCUGUGUCAUUCUCUUUAGCAGAAAUUCUCUCUCCCCCCCCUUCCUCUCCCCCUCUCCCUCUCCCUCUCUCUCUCCCUCUUUCUCUCCCUUUUCUUUUCUUUUUUGAGACCGGUUUCACUCCGUUGCCCAGGCUGGAGUGCAGUGGCACGAUCUUGGCUCACUGCAACCUCCACCUCCUGGGUUUAUUCGAUUCUCCUGCCUCAGCCUCCCAAGUAGCUGGGACUACAGGUGCGUGCCACCAUGCCCAGCUAAUUUUUGUAAUUUUUGGUAGAGACUGGGUUUCGCCAUGUUGGCCAGGCUGGUCUUGAACUCCUGACUUCAAGUGAUCCGCCCACCUUGGCCUCCCAAAGUGCUGGGAUUACAGGCUUGAACCACUGUGACUGGCUUAGAGAUUGUUAAUUCUAAGUCCUCGGGUACCAGGAGCAUAUCUAAUAGAGACUUUUCAAAAAUGAUUUUAGGUUUCUAUGUGGGUGACUGCUUCCUAAGCAGGUGAGUCACAAACCCAUCUUAAGAGCAGGGCUGUAUUCUCCAGUGGAGGUGGGUGGAGCCUGCACUGGAAGGCGGUGGAGCAGGCUUCUGAGGCAGGGCUGUGUCUUACACGGUUGUGUUCCCACCGAGAGGGUGGGGCUGUAGUUCCUCGAUCUCAAUCAGUGCGGCCGGAACAGGGAUGGUGUUUCCUCUUUGGUGCUUCUGGAACACCAUGGUACUCUCCUAGCACUUCUGGAUUUGGGCGCAUCUCUCUGUAUCACCUUUCCAAGCUAUAAACUCAAGGACAGGGAUUGUUAUUUUGUUUUAGUUUUUCAGUCGCUGUAUCCUCAGAGCCUAGCACAGUACUUGGCAUGCAGUAAACGUUCCACAGAUUAAUUCAUCCACUCACUUCUCAAAUACUUACUGAGUGCCUCCUAUGUGCCAGGCUUCAUUCCAGGACUAAGGAGAAAGCAUUAAAGUAAACCAAGUCCCUACCCUCAUAGAGCUUCCAUUCUGGUGGGGAAGACAGACUAUCAAUAAGUGAACACGGCUGGGCGAUGUGGCUCAUGCCUAUAAUCCCAGCACUUUGGGAGGCCGAGGCAGGUGGAUCACCUGAGAUCAGGAGUCGAAAUUAUGCCUGUAACCCUUACACAGGAACACAACCAUGUAAGACACAGCCCUGCCUCAGAAGCCUACUCCACCAACCUCCAGUGGAGAAUGCAGCUGUGCUCUUAAGAUGGGUUUGUGACUCACCUGCUUAGGAGGCAGUCACCCACAUAGAAACCUAAAAUCACUUGCGAAAAGUCUCAAUUAGAGAUACUCCUGCUGCCCCAGGACUUAGAAUUAAAAAGACAAAAAUUAGCCAAGCGUGGCAGUGGGUGCCUGUAAUCACAGCUACUCUGCAGGUGGAGACAGAAGAAUUGUUUGAACCUGGGAGGCAGAGGUUGCAAUGAGCUGAGAUUGUGCCAUUGCACUGCAGCCUGGUGACAACAGUGGAACUCUGACUCAAAAAAAAGGAAAAAUUGUGUCUGGGAUCCCAGCACUUUGGGAGGCCAAGGUGGACAGAUCAUGAGGUCAGGAGUUUGAGACCAUCCUGGCCAACAUGGUGAAACCCUGGCUCUACUAAAAAUACAAAAAGUAGCUGGGUGUGGUCACGCAUGCCUGUAAUCCCAGCUAACUGGGAGGCUGAGUCAGGAGAAUUGCUUGAAUCUGGGACGUAGAGAUUUCAGUAAGCCGAGACCGCAUCACUGCACUCCAGCCUGGAGACCGAAGGAGACUCCAUCUUGAAAAAAAAAUUAAAAUUAAAUAACUGAACACAUGCAUGGUAAAUGACAUAAUUUGGGGUAGUGAAGAAUGCCAUUUCCUGCAGGGCUAGGAAACUAGACGAAGUGGGAAAGCUAUAGGCGGGUGCAAAAGUGACUGUGGUUUUUGCCGUUUAUAAGUAAUGGAGAAAACAGUAAUUACUUUUGUACCAACCUAGUAUUUUGGAAGGUACCACUGAGGAAGGCUUCCCUGAAGAGGCGGCUUUUGAGCAGAGAUUUAAGGGACGAGAAGGGGUGAGCCAUGGGAAGUUCUAAGGGGAGAAGGAAUUUUUGUUUGUGGCAGAAGGAAUACCAAGGCCAAAGGCUCGGAGAUGGGGAUGAGCUGGGCAUGUUAGUGAAAUGAUGAGGCUGGACUGGAGUGGGAGAGGCAGGCAAGGGUUAGGUUAUAUAGGGUCUUAAUGGUCAAGGUUGAUUGAUUACAAUUCAGGUUAGUAUCCACCAGAGGCACAUCAAGGCCUUCAGGAAACCAAAUUACUAUUGAAAAAGAUAAGGCAGUUGUAUUAACAUUAUUCUAUUCAACCCUGUUUACAGUUUCCCUUCUGCUCGUAGAUAGAGAGGCAUUGCUUUGUAGUUAAUCUCGGAAUUCAACAUGGCAGAGCAGCGGGAAGGUUUGGUUGAGACAUAGGAGCGCUCAUGGUACCUUCUAGGAAUUCAGUCUUACAUGGGGUGAAUUUGAUUUGUGCUGUUCAAACUCAAAAAUACGGAUGAGCGCCAGGAAGCAUCAUGAGAGAGGGUUGGGAAGGGAUGGUCAUGCGCCAGCAGGCGGCAUCAGCACUUUAUGGCACAUGAUAUUUGGGCAGCAGAAAGGGCACAAGACUUGAAUUUGAAAGAUAAGGGUUCUAGUUCCAGUUAUCCCACUUAUGGAGCAAUCUCAGAUUAGUCAUUUAACCUCUACAAGCUUAGUUUCUGCAGCUCAUGUCCUUGUUCGGCUUCUCCAUAAUGAAUCUGAAAACCCUUUGGAGACUGUCCUGCUGCACCCUCCGUUGUAAACCUGUGUAUGAGACUGUGGGCUCUUUGAGGAUGGGGGCUUUAUUUUAUGCAUUCUUCUGUUUCUUAGAAUUAGCAGAACGCCAAGGUGCUCACUGGAUUUACUGAGAAUCAAAUUCUGCCGUGACAUUGCUGUGAUCAGCCAUGUCUCCUGGGGACAGAGUCUGCAACAGAAGUGUCACAUAACCUGGGAGAAGAGCACUCAAAUUGAAGCUGAAAUUCUAACACAGUCACUCAGAGAGGUUUGGCUUGGACUAGUCACUUAGCUUCCUUGUGGUACUUUUUCCCAUCUGUGAGAGAGUAAGAUAAUUUUACCAGCCUCUUAUGCUACUUGUGAGGGUCAGAUGAAGAAACAUGAGUGUAUUAGGUUAUAAGACUGACUGCCGUUCCAUGGCACCCAAAUAGCUAUGGCUUACAGAAGACCAAAGUUCAUCUGUCACAAAACAGUCCUGACAUGGCCUGACCUGGCGACGCCAUGGCAUCGGAAGCCCAGCCCUCUCCCGUCUUGUUGUUCUGCUCCCCCACCGAGUGUUGACCUUAUCCAUGUAGCCCAAGAUGGCCCUCUACUACCUUCUUAUCCCUUGCAGCGAAAAGGGGAACAGUGACAAAGGGUGUGUUCAUAUCCCAUUGGUCAGAACUGGGCCAUGUGGCGUACUUGCUCAAAGGGGUUUUUAGCGGGUCUUUAUUCUAGGCGCGAGCAUGCCUGACUCAUUUUUAACACUUUGAAAGAAGGCAAGACCAGGUUUUGGGGAACAAGUGAAGUCUCUGGCACAGCAAAAUGAAAGAGAAUUCUGAACCUGGAAGUGGAAAUGAUUCAGGGCUCACCCACAGCUAGAACUGGGCAUGAUUUGAUUCUGCUGGAGUCUCCCUGAAAACAACGCCCGUAUUCUCUGUAUUAUUAUUGUCACUGAAUGCUUGCUCUGUGCCGGCCACUGUGCUAAGAGCUUCCUAUGUGCUACUUCCAGUUAAUCCUCACAAUGGUCUUAUUGCUUAGGUCCCAUUGUUAGGUCCAUUUUUGAGAUAGGAAGACUGAGGCUUAGAGAAGUCAGAGGACAGGUUAGAACUUGGGAGUGUUGGACUCCAGAGCUCAGACCCUCAAUACUCCUACUGCUCAGGCUUCUGGUUCCAGUCUGGUGUUUCUUCUCUGGAUAUAUCUGGUCCCUUUUCACCCCCCAUCUUCCUGGCUGGGCCUCAUUUCCAGAAAUGCCACUGACACGGAGGGGACGCUUGUGCUCUGGUUGGUGGUGUUCCUAGCAGUGCUGUACCCCACCCAGGAUGGAACUGAUUCGCAGAAAUAGGGGUCACGACUGAAAAGGCCGCUCGUGCUGGUAGGAGAGGGCUCAGGUCCCACAGAGGUCAAGUGAGCAGAACUAGGAAAACUAGCUCUAGGUGGACAGAGGUGAUUUGGGAAUUAACAUUUUGAAGGGAUUUAGACUUCCUACUGCCUUCAAGGGUCACCUGCAGCACUGUAAACACAGAGAUGAUGAGGCCAUCUGCCCCCUGGACCUGAGUUACUCUGGUAGGAAAAGCACAGAGCCCGAAGUAGCGGUCAGAACCUUUGCUUGGGCCUUCCAGAGCCUUCCCUGACCCAGAACAAAACUCAAAAGUCUCCUCAGGCUAAAGCGACUGCCCUUUGUCCUAUUUGCAAAUUGGUUUGGUUCAGUGUGUUCACAAUUUGCCACCCAUUUCUCAAUGAUCUCCAAAUCAUUAUCCAAUGAAAGGUUAUCAUAUCCUGGUUUAGUUGCAAGAUUUUAGAGCUCAAGGAGGCUUAGGCAUUAUUAAUCCAAUCCUUAUCUCACAGAGGACCAGAAAGCCUGCCUGCCUGGCCUGCCCACGGUCCUGUUGCUACGUUGAGUUAGGGCUGAGUUUUUGGGUGCCCCACCUGAGCAUGAGAGACAGGAUUUUGUGAAUUCUCAUAUAGGCAACAGAGGUGGCAAUUCAUGAUGACUGAGCAUUUGUCUGCCUCUUGGCACCUUCUCAGAGCACACUAUGGGGUAAACGGGCGUUUUCGAUUAUCUGCUGUGUUGGCUUACCAUUUUGGUGCCUCAGUUUCCCCAUCUGUGAAAUGGGCAUGAUAGUAAUAGAAAGCCUCAUAGAGGGUUGUUGUGAAGUUCAUGUAUAUGUACUUUUUUUAGGUAUAGUCUUGGUCUGUUUCCCAGGCUGGAGUGCAGUGGUGUGAUCUCGGCUCACUGUAGCCUCCCAUCCCCCCAAAUUCAAGUGAUUCUUGUGUCUCAACCCAGAUUACAGGCACCUGCCACUAAGCCCUGCUAACUUUUGUAUAUUUAGUAGAGACAGGGUUUUGCCGUGUUGGCCAGGCUGGUCUCAAAGUCCUGACCUCAAGUAAUCCACCUGCCUCGGCCUCCCUCCAUGCAGGGAUUACAGGUGUGAGCCACUGUCCCUGGCUGUUGUUGAUCUGUUAGUGUAUGCUGUGCUGAGACCAUGUCCAGCAUGAAGGAAACAUUCAAAGCAGUUGUUGUGAUCACUUCCAUGAUAUCCUUUUUCACUCUUGCUCAUGGUACUUUGUGCUCCUGAGAAAGCUUGGGGUCUUUGUCUUUCCCAUUCAUCUUUGUAUUUCCUAGGUCACACCAUCCAUCAGCUUAAAGACUUUUUUGUUUACCUUGACUGUCUCCAAUGCUACAUGCAUGAAUUCUCCAAUAGUCAUAAUAGGCUUUUCCUCCAUAAGUUUAAUUUUAGCUUGUUCAAUAGCCUCACAGAACAUGACCUUUUCCAUGAUAAAUUGGCAGGAAAUAAACCCACCCAUCUUCCGUGGAUGAUGGUGAGAUGGUGGGGAUUGGUGUUAUUUUUCUGAUCUGGUGGGAGUAGUUGUGGAUGUCUGCUCUCGGUUUUCAGCACACACAUAAGGGGCUCCCUAGGGUUGUAUGGGUCGGGAGGGGUUCGAGGUAGGCUCUGCUUGGCUCUGGAAUGGGUCAGAUGGGGAAGAUUUCUCAGUUUCUCAUAGGCGCUCAGUAUCAUUUGACUCCACAGCCUGCUCUUGGUUACCCUCUGUGUAAGUGGUUCUGGGGGGCUGGCACUGCUAAGGUAUGGCUGGAAUAUGUUCCCGGGACAGUUAUUUGAGAUCUACAUGGAGUCGCUGAGGAGCAUCGAGGAUCAGGUAGACUCAGUCUCUGCCCCCAGGAGCUCUAACAGGACCCUGUUUCCCUCUAGUCUUCCCCCUUCCUGCAGCUCCAAGGAUGAGGACCCCCCUCCAACAGAGUGGGCUGAGACCUGCAUUUCCCAGGUGGGUCUCGUCUGUGUGUCUUCAUAGUUCAGCAAACACCUGAGGUUUCCUUUUGAAGCCAGCCCACUGGGGCAUUACAGAAGCCCAGACACACUCCAGAGUCUAAACACUUGGGUGUGGAUCUCGCUCUGCCAUUCUGUGGCUCCCAAUGUGGGGCAGUGCCGGAGCCACAUGUGGAAUAAAUGUAUGUUGAAUGAAUGACGAUUAGUGUGUUGCCUUGGGCAAGUCAUCUCAUCUCUCAAUCCCUCAGCUUCUUAUCUUUAGAGAUCAUAUUGUCCACCUCAUGGUGCUCUUGAGAGAAUUAAAUGAGAUAGUGCCUCUAAAGCCGAAAUCACAGUGCUCAAGGUUUACUGGGUGUGCAAAAAAUGUAACCACUGGUGUUACGAUAUUAUUCCUGUGGACCCUGACUGUAAGGCUCUUGGAGCCUAGUUUCCUCCCAAUAUUAAGCCUCAUUAAUCUUACCUUUUUUUCCCCCAAGUCUGCCUAGGGAUGGGAUUGUUCAAGAUGCGAGUGGAUGAUCCUUUGCCAAUGUAUUUGUAUCAGUUCAUUUUCAUACUGCUAUGAAGAAUACCCAAGACUGGAUAAUUGAUAAAGAGGUUAAAUGGACUCACAGUUCCACGUGGCUGGGAAGGCCUCACAAUCAUGGCAGAGGGUGAAGGAGGAACAAAGGCACAUCUUACGUGGUGGCAGGCAAGGGAGUGUGUGCAGGGGAACUACCCUUUCUAAAACCAUCAGAUCUCUUGAGACUUACUAUCAUGAGAACAACACAGGAAAAAUCUACCCCCAUGAUUCAAUUACCUCCCACUGGGUCCUUUCCAUGACAUAUGGGGAUUAUGGGAGCUACAAUUCAAGAUGAGAUUUGGGUGGGGACACAACCAAACCAUAUCAAUGUUAUUUUCCCCCCAAUAAGAUAAUUUGCCUUUUACAUCUAGGCGUGACUUCAGUGGUGGGGACUCAGGACUCCUUGGUGGUAAAUGGUGGUAUGAGGAGAAACCACAGGUAGAUGUCUUUGAACUCCCAUCCUCGCUGGGACUCUCAGGACCACCUGGGCAGCCUCCAUGUUUUCUAGGACUUUUUUUUUUGAAACAAGAUCUUGUUCUGUCGCCUAGGCUGGAGUGCAGUGGCAUGAUCUCAGCUCACUACAACCUCUACCUCCCAGGUCCAAGUGAUUCUCCUGUCUUAGCCUCCCGAUGAGCUGGGACCACAGAUGUGUGCCACCAUGCCAGGCUUAUUUCUAUAUUUUUAGUAGAGGCAGGGUUUCACCAUGUUGACCAGGCUGGUCUUGAACUCCUGACCUCAGUGAUCUGCCCACCUCAGCUCCCCAAGUGUUGGGAUUAUAGGCAGGAGCCAUCAUGCCCAGCGUCUAGGACUUAUGUAAGUUGUCUAUCUGAGUAUUAACCCAUGGCUCAGGAAGCACCCAGCAGCAAGAUGCUCUGUCACCAGUAUUUGAGGAGUCUGCAGACAGUGGGGCAGGGAGUGAGAGGUGGAACAAAUGCACCAGGAUAAGGAGACCCAGGGAAAUUGUGUGGCUCUGGCAUCACCAGCAUAGUUAUUAGGAAAUCUGGGCUAAUUAGGGUACUCUGUUGUUCUGCUCAGCAGGCCCUUGAAAUUGGACUGGCUUCUGGCUUACCUCUUAGAGAGAAAGGAACACUGUGUACCAUUUUCUCCCUGUGCUUGCUGUGGGGAAAUGGCAGUGGUUGCUGGGAAGUUGGGACAGAACCCGUAGGCUUGUGCUUAACCACGUUUCUCGGGAAAGCAGGGAUGGCCUGUGUGGAAACCACAUUCUCAUUCCUUUGUGCUUCCUCUUUUGCCUCCAUUCCUAGGGCUGUCGUUCUGGAUUCUCUGGACACACUUAGCUCUCUGGAGUAUUGUCCAGUCAGCAUGACUGUGGCAUGCAAAGAACAAGGGCUUGGAAGUCAUUCUCUGGCUGUGUGACGUUCAUGAGAGUUAACCUGAUGACUCUGUGCCUCAAUGUCACCGCUUUAAUGGGAAUCUAGAAUAUUCCUCACCGAGAGGUUUUGAGGCUUCAUGGUCCCCCAUAAGUUACUUCUUUCUCUGUUCUCUCCCCUAAGCCCUAUCUCAAAAUCUAUACCAGUCCUUAUUGUCACUUGUGUGAAAUUCUCCCCUCUCUGUUAUUUCUUCUAAAUUGUAUCCAGAGGUUGGGGGCGGGUGGCCUGCCUACAAAAUGAAAGCUGCUUAUAAUGGAGAUAAUUUUAGACUCUCACAGAAGUUACUGUGACUCAAUAGCUGAGCAAUAGCUUGGUUUCUCAUGCUGGGAGACACUCCUCCAUCCCCACUGGUCCUGGCAGAGGAGCAACUCUGUGACUUUUACUUGAGGACCUGUGGGGUGUGCUCUCAGGGAUUGUGAGGGUGGGUUCUGGAGGGAUCUUCUCAACACAGACAGCACUGUUCCUCUUUCUGCAGCAGAGGGACUCCUUUGGACACAUAAAUGUGGCCUUUAUAACUCAGUGCUCAGAAUGUUUGAAAGAGUAGGGCUUUAGAGAGUCUAAAUUACCCGCUGUUUGAGAAAUUACCAAUACCAGCAGGUACAUACACCUCCCAUGUUCCCCUAGUGUGACCGCAGCAGACAUCACUAAUGGAUCCCAGCACAUUUCUCUGUGCUGAACCUGAAUGGAACCUUAGAAUCCUUUCCCCAUAGCGCCUGAGCCUGAGAAAAGGUAUACUUUUAUAGUUAUAGAAAUUGAGGCCGGGCAUGGUGGCUCAAGCCUGUAAUCCCAGCACUUUGGGAGGCUGAGGCGGGUGGAUCACGAGGUCAAGAGAUUGAGACCAUCCUGGUCAACAUGGUGAAACCCCGUCUCUACUAAAAAAAAUACAAAAAAUUAGCUGGGCAUGGUGGCGCGUGCCUGUAAUCCUGGCUACUCGGGAGGCUGAGGCAGGAGAAUUGCCUGAACCCAGGAGGCGGAGGUUGCAGUGAGCCGAGAUCGCGCCAUUGCACUCCAGCCUGGGUAACAAGAGCGAAACUUCGUCUCAAAAAAAAAAAGAAAUUGAGACCCAGAGACUUAAGUAUCUAGCAUAAGGCAGUUCUUGUAAGGUGAGUGAAUAUAAAUAUAUAUACACACACAUAUGUGUAUGUACACACAAACGUACAUAUAUAAAGUUUAUGUUGGCAAGUUUUGCAAAUCGUUCCUGAUGGAACACCCUCUGCCCAAUACCUUUAAAUCUGAGGUUCUUCAUCAGGACCAAUUUUCAAAACUUGCUGCUGUCCCUAAAGAAUGGAGUGUACUAUCACACUGAUGAAACAUCAUAGUCCUUAUGCUUGCCAAGUUCGAGCUGCAGGAAUAUUUGGGAAAAUGAGCUGCAUGGGUCAGAUGGGCCACAUCACCUGGAGCAGGCAGAAUGCAUCUGAGAUGGAGGAUGACUGACAAGUUGGAACAUUUUUUUCUAGGCAGGGAGGUGCAGUUACAAAAUAUCUGCCCACUUCAAUCCCAUCUGGCAGAAAAUGCAAUCCUUUCCUAGAGGGUAGAGAAAAAUUUGUUUGAAAUGAUUAGUUUCUUUUUGGGUAGAAAGGUGCUCCCUGGGAGGAUGUUUUAUGGGACUUAUGUCAUUGUCAUUCUCUUCCUGCCUCUUCCUUUAUUUCCUUUUGUCCUUUCAGAUCCAGCUCCCUCCUCCAGGAAUCCUCCCCUCUGCGGCCUGCCCGAAGUACCUCUAGUUUCAUUCCUGUUAAACACUUCAUUUGUCUCCAGUGAGAGCCUCCCCGCUCUACCUAGCAUGAGCUCUCCUGUGAUUUUUUUUCCUGUGUACCUGACAAUGUUGAGCAAGGAUCCAGGGCCACCAGCUCCAUGAGCUGUGUGCAAAGUUUAGAGGCUGCUAUGGUCUGAACGUUUGUGUCCCCCGCACAAAUUCAAGUGUUGAAACCUAAUCCCUAAUGCAGUAGUAUUUGGGAGGUGAUUAGGUCUUGAGACCUCUGCCUUCGUGAAUGGAAUUAGUGCCCUUGUAAAAUAGGCCUGAGGGAGCCUCUUCACCCCCUCUGCUAUGUGAACACACAGAAGGCACCACUAUAUGGUGCUUUUCCAGACACCAAAUCUGCUGCUGCUUUGGUCUCGGACUUCCCAGCCUCCAGAACUGUGAGCAGUACAUUUCUAUUUAUACGUUCCUUAGCCUGAGAUAUUUUGUUAUAGCAGCAGGAGCAGACUAAGACAGAUACCAAGCUUGUCUGUGCAUUUGUGGCUCUUUGGGGCAGGUGAGCCUGGGGGAAGGACUUGUACGUGUGUUGUUUCUCUAUGCCAGGGGUCAGAGGUUGGGCUGGGUCCCAUGAUCUGGGCUGCUGUUUAGCAUGGCAUCUUCCUGUCUUCUGGCCUUGUGAAUGGCCUGGCGUUGCCUGGUGAGAGGAGUUGGCUCUCCUCUCUGCUGCAGUGCGUUGCUGCUGCCCCACUGUCCAGCAGCUGCCGUUGCCAUGGAGCAGCCAGAGGUGCUGUGCCAGUGGCCCCCCUGCCCCACAGUCCUUGCAACAGCUCCUCUGUCUGCCCCCUUAGCCCUCAGCCCUGCCAUGGGAUGGGGACAGAGGAGACUGCGGCAGCAAAUGUGGCCAAUUUUAAUCGAUUUCUGCUUGGUACACAUUUACUGAUGAGCUGUAAGUCAGCAGCUUCCAGCAGAGCUGAGACGAGAAGAGAAUGGCUGGCUGCCUAGUGGCUUCCUGGGACUUUGAAUGGCAUCUCGACAUGUUACAAAUAUGAUCAUGGAAGCUGCUGAUGGGACCUCCCCUAGAGAUACAAUGACAGCAGCAACUGUCAUACUCUGCUAUUAUCUAUUAUGUGGCUUACAUUUAUCAACUCACCUAAACCUGGAGACAGUAUUAUCUCUAUUUUAUGGAUAAGGAAGCUAAAGCUCAGAGAGGUUAAGUCAUUUGACCAAGGUAACACAGUGAAAAAGAGGCAGAGCUGGCAUCCAAUCCCAGGCAACAUGGCUUUAUAGUUCCUUCUGUUAACCACUAUUUUAUGUUGUCUUUCUGUUUCUAAACUAAAAGUUAAAACCUACCAUUGGAGAUCUUUAAAAUAAAAGUAGGUCAUUACCUCUUUAAGACAGUUUGUGUAUAUAGCAACAUUUAUUAAAUAUUUACUGAAUAAAGUACUUAAGACCAUGCCAGGUACUCUUCUAGGUACUCUCAGAUAUUAGUCAUUGAUCCCCACAGCACCUCUGAGAUGUAAGUAUUAUGAUUUUCAUCCCCAUUUUGCAGAAGAGAAAACUGAGGCAUGGAGAGGGUUAGUAUCCAGGGUCACAGAGCCAGGAUGUGACAGGGUCAGGACUGGCUCUAGAUUCCACACACAAGUAAAACUACUAGCUUAUGAAAGAACAUUUGACAAACUUCUCGACUUGGUUAUUCUGGCGGAAGAAAUUCUAGGGAUAGAGCACCCUCCUGGAGUUACCGUCUUAGUUACUAGAGCUCAGUUUGUGAGACCCAUAGUUUUCCAGAACCUUUUAUAUUCUGAGUAAAAACAUGCACACAACAAAACAACCAGAUGCAUUUAUUCAAAGGAACAAUUCUCAGGAUUUGUGGGCAGUUCACUUAGAGACCAGAGUCCCUUACAAUCUGGGUUUUCUGUCCUGAGCAGUUAGCUCAGAACUAGCUUCAGAACUUAGGGGAAGAGCUCAGAGGACGUCUGAGUCCAUUUUGUAUCUUCAGCAUAUAGCUAUGGCUGAGUGCGUCAUCGGUGUUAGAUACAGCAGACCUGUUGGUUUGUUCGGAAACAGAAUUGUUAUGCCUGGGAUAAGAACGUAAUGAAGUAGGGAGAUUCCAAGCUAGGAAUUUGGGGCCCAGAUUCUAGGGGAAGCCUCCAGGGUUCUCAGGCUGCCCCUUCUCCAUUGAUCCGCCUGGUUUAUGGAGCCACAGGGGAAUAGGUCCUGGAAUUGAAGGUGAUGGUGGGGUAUUGAGGUGGCACCGUUGAUCAUUGCUGCACGAGGAGCCUCCAACCCUGGGCUUUCCCUUUUGAGGUUCAGUGCAGGCUCUUGAUUCUGCUUCAUAAUCUUACUUUACAGUUGGAGGAAGAGGACAGGUUGAGAAGGAACUUCCUUUGCGUGCGGUCAGAGCCCGGAGUCUGCACAAUUCCUAAAUUUUGAUAGAAACAGUUAGUGGUCUUGAUGUAUCUGAUAACCUACAAAGCCAACAUGUCCUAGGGUUUGAUCUCUCCAGUGGUGUUAGAGGAGUCCGAAGUGAGCAUCUGUAAGCUCCACUGUGAUCUAGCCCAUCUGGGAGGAGCUGUAUUAAACCAGCGACCGCCCUCCCCGCUCCCCUACACUCCUAAAGCCUUCCGUUUCACAAGCACCAGGCUCAGGUACCUGUUUUUCUCCACCCACACCCUGUUUAUUUCUCUCUGCCUCACCAUCUUUGUUAUUGUUCUUGUUGUAUCUGAGGAAGUUGACUCAUUUUUAACAUUUCGCAAGCAUCCCCCUCCCACUAGUAGGUGUGUGAGCAGAAGCAGAUUUUACCAUCUGCAAACCUUCCACGCUCCGGCAGAUCCUCUUUCUACCUUUGCAGCACUGUAGAACCCACCCAAGCCAUGUGCCUUCUCUGUGUCCCAUCUAUGCCUCUCUCUGACAUCAAGCUCACUGGGGAUGAGCACAGCAGGACCUCAGAAAGAAGCCUACUUCUUUCCUUCCUGCAAGAAAAUGUGCCAGGCAUUUAGUAUUAGGAAUACAGAAGUGAAAACACAAGGUUCCUGCCUUCAAGCAACUCGGGGAUUUAGAAGUAAUAGCAAUAGUAUUAACAAUUGCUACCAUGUAUUUCAGGAUAGGCAAGCCACUGUGCUUUUCAUUUUUCUUUCUUUCUUUUUUUUUUUUGUGACAGAGCCUUGCUCUGUCCCCCAGGCUGGAGUACAGUGGGGUGAUCUUGGCUCAUUGCAACCUCCACCUCCUGCAUGCAUGCUCCUGCCUCAGCCUCCCGAGUAACUGGGAUUAGAGGUGUCUGCCACCACGCCCAGCUAAUUUUCACAUUUUUAGUAGAGACAGGGUUUCACCAUGUUGACCAGGUUGGUCUCAAACUCCUGACCUCAGAUGAUCCACCUGCCUCAGCCUCCCAAAGUGCUCGGAUUACAGGCAUGUACCACUGCACCCAGUCCACUGUGCUUUUCCUGAAUGAUGUAAUCUGAUAAUUUUCAAAACCAGCCUGGAGAUUAGGAAUUCUUGUUUUCAUCUUAGAAAUGAGAAAAUGGCAGAGAAGAUAAGUUAAUCUGCUGAGGUCACAUAGCUAGCAGAAGGUGGUAGUUUGCCUUUGGAGGAUAAACAAUAUAUAUGUGUAUAUAUAUAUUUUUGAGACAGAGUUUCACUCUUUUUGCCCAGGCUGGCGUGUAAUGGCGUGAUCUUGGCUCACUGCAACCUCCACCUCCCAGGUUCAAGUGAUUCUCCUGUCUCAGCCUCCCGAGUAGCUGGGACUGCAGGCAUGAACCACCAUGCCUGGCUAAUUUUGCAUUUUUAGUAGAGACGGGAUUUCUCCUUGUUGGUCAGGCUGUGCUUAAACUCCCAAUUUCAGGUGAUCUGCCCUCCUUGGCCUCCCAAAGUGCUGGGAUAACAGGUGUGAGCCUCCAUGCCUGGUGGCAAACAAUGUUAUUAAGAACAAUGUUGACUGAACGCCUCUAUCGUCCUACGUGUCAGUGCUUGUACCCACAGGCUUUCCGUCUCCUGAAGUGCUGUAGACACUUUGAUCAGAGAGGGUCCUGGCUUGUGAGGAUCAUCACACAGCAGGAAGUGGCAGCUCAGGGCUGAUGCUGAAGUGUGUCUGAUUCCAGAUAUUUCUGGCUCCUAACCCCUGGACUGUAUCACCUCUCGUCAACACAGUUCAAGAUGUAUUAUCCAACCCAGCCACUUGUUAGAGUAAAAAAAACGAGCUAUUAAAAAUGAUUGUAGAGGCCAGGUGCGGUGGCUCACACCUGUAAUCCCAGCACUUUGGGAGGCCAAGUCGGGUGGAUCAUUUGAGGUCAUGAGUUCAAGACCAGCUUGGCCAACAUGGUGAAACCCCAUCUCUACUAAAAAUACAAAGAAGUGAGCCAUUGAGGUGGCGUGGACCUAUAAUCCCAGCUACUCAGAAGGCUGAACCACAAGAAUCGCAGAGGUUGCAGUGAGUUGAGAUUGCACUUGUUGCCCAGGCUGGGUGACAGAGUGAGAUCCUGUCUCAAAAAAAAAAAAAAAAAAGAGACUGUAGGACUGCAGGCAUAAACUGGGACAAUCCCAAGGUGACUGAGCUUUGUGUUUGCCCUAAACAGGAUGCACAAUUCAGUCAACAAGUAUUUUCAGCUGUGUGCCAGAGGGUAUUCUUCCUAUGAACAGAAGAGGCCCCAAGAGCUUGCCAUUAAGGGUUGGAGAAGGAUCUGGGGACAGGGAUGAGGCCAUGUUGGGUGGGGACAGUGCUCUGAGGAAGACAUACCAGGUAGUGGAAUUGCAGGGGUGAGGGUGCCAGGGAGGCCUCCCCGAGUCCUCUGUGAUAAUCCUGGUGAAGGAGGUCUUGACUUCGGCGACUGAAAAGGCAAAGAAAGGCCUGGAAGCAGGAACACCUUGUCCAUUUGAAGGGAAAUCCUGGAUGUGUUCUGAGUGAGCUGUUGUGAGUGGCCAGCAGGUGCCGUUCUGUGGGGUUGGGUGGAAUGAGCCAGCUGUCUGGGUAAAGGAUGCGGAGCCACCAAGUGGUCCCCUUCUGAAGGAGGCUGCUCUGCAUGCAGCAGGGUGGGAGGCCACUGCUUCAUCAGAAGGGCCCGUCCUGCCUUCCCUCCUUCGGCAGUGCUCAGAAAUGGCUUAGCAGGGUAUUCCUUGGUCUCUGCCUGGGGAAUAGAGGAACUCAACAUUGUAAAUAAAAGGGCUAGCGUCUUCAAAAUUCAUUCUUGUCCUCUGUUGCUAGAGAGCAACGCUUGUGCACACACGCUACCCACCCACCCUGUGAUUGCAAAGAGUCAGAGGGCCACCGUGAUUUGUAAUCACAGGGUAGGUGUGCGCGGCAUGCGUGCACGAGCUUUGUUCUUUAAAACAGAAGUGUGAGAACUGUUCUCUCUUCUGCCUGUUCCCUCCCAAGUACAGUGUCUCCACGUCAACAUACUCACAGGCGUGAUGGUGGUUAACGUUGAUUAAGUGCUCGCUGUGCUUCUCAUUGGCAGGAGCACUGUUCUUGCCUGAGCCUACUGUGUCCUCGAAGGAACUCUAUGAACUAAGGACUGUUUUAUUCUGACUUUGUGGAAGAUGUGGAGGCUGAGCUCCAGGGAGGUGAAACCUAAACAGCCCAAGGUCACACGCUUGGGAGAACAGGAGCUGGACCCUGACACAGCAGGCCUAGGGGAAGUCAGGGCAGGAAGUAUCAGCCCCAUUGUGCAGAGGGGAAGACGGAGGUGCAGUGAUGGAAAAUGUGUGGUGGAGGGCUGGGCCUAGAAUCUGGGAGUUCUGAUUCGGGGUGACUGUCCAGUAGAAUGGGAAAGGUGGCAGAACCCUAUAUAUGAGCCCGUCACUUGUUCAAGGACUUAGUCAGGGGCCUCCUUGAAUUUGGAGAAGAGCAACAGACAUCCGAACUGGAGGGCAGGAGCUGGGAGCAACUCCGUGGCUGCAACCUCUGGUCAUUUCCAAAGCCCAUGCAAAGGCUGCCUUUGGUCAUCACCCACUUGCAUUUAGCCAGGGCCUUUAAUUCAUUCCCAGAUCCUUAACGAUCACCUGGAACGCAUUUAAAAGGGUAGAUUUCUGGGGCUAAGGUAGGCCUAUUGAAUCAGGAUCUGGAUUUUAGGAUCCCGGGGUCUGCAUUGAUACCACCCAGGCUGCUUGGAGGGGUAUUCAUGGUGGGGAAUCCCUAGACCUUGGUUCUAAGACUCCAGAGGGGUGGAAAUGACGUGGAUUCAGUCUAAGGCUUAACCAAAGACCAUGGUCACGCAGGGCCAGGGGAAAGGUUAUUAUCAUCAGCCCCAGACACUUUGGGGAUGUCCUGGAAACAUCUGCCUGACUGAGCGGUUCUGUUUUGCACCAGUAUGAUUUGUGUAUCUGAGGGCUGCAGCCCUUCAUUUUUCUUUUCUUUUUUUUUUUUGGUAUUAAAAAAAUGGUGGGCCAGUCACAGUGGCUCACGCCUGUAAUCCCAGCACUUUGGGAGGCCAAGACGGGUGGAUCAUGAGGUCAAGAGUUCAAGACCAGUCUGACCAACAUGGUGAAACUCUGUCUCUACUAAAAGUGCAAAAAAAUUAGCCAGGUGUGGGCAUGCGCCUAUAGUCCCAGCUACUCAGGAGGCUGAGGCAGGGGAAUUGCUUGAAUCAGGGAGGUAGAGGUUGCAGUGAGCCAAGAUCGCGCCACGCAUGCCAGUCUGGGUGAUAGAGCGAAACGCCGUCUCAAAAAAAAAAAAAGAUAAAAUGUACGUAACAAAAUUUACCAUUUUAACCAUUUUUAGCAUCCAGUUCAGUGACAUGAAGUACACCCAUAUCGUGUUCAUGCAGCCCAAACUUGAUGGCUCCUUUUGGAACACUCCAGGAAGGAAGGGCUGUGUACACACUAGGUGCUUAAUAAGUGCUUUCAGCUGACAGUGGGGUGGUGGGAUUCAUGGGGUGGUGGUAGGCUACAUCAUCAUGGAUUAAGUAAGUAAGCAUUCCCACUCUGGACUUUCUUAGGCAACUUAACCUCAGUCUGUGAUGCCGAAGCAGACACUAGUGAGCUAUCUUUAACGCUUCAUUUCUAUUUCUGGGUGAAGCAGGAUGAUGAGUUCAUUGUCUGGUCAAUGCCAAGGGCAACUUCCCCUGCUUUCCUAGGCUCCUGCGCAGAAUAGAGAAUGUCUGUGAAAAAUCCAAAUGUUUCUCCUGUGUGAGUGUCGGGUAAGGGCAGCGCGCAGUUAUGACUGGAGCUCCAGUUUCAGAUGCUGCUGACAAAUGGGCCUUUUUAUACUUAGGAGAUUUUUCUUACUACGUGUCAACAAAAGAUCUGUAGACAAUCUCGUUAUAUAUUUCACACUGCUGACUUCAUAAGUGUAACAGCACUCAUGACCCAUUUACAUUUUUUGGUGUAUGUGAGUUUAUUUCUGUGGUUACCAUGCAUGAGGGAAUGCCACAAAAGCCAGCCUGUUCAGAGCUGGAGCACAGUGCCAGUGGAAUUUUGGUGAGCUUCACUGCGGUAGAAGGGAGUGGGCUGGGAGGUGCAGAAGUACUGAAUUUUACAGCUGGAAGGAAUCUUAUAUAGAUUAAAUCCUCCCCUCCUCCUUAUUUAUAGAUGAGGAUACCGAGACCCAGAAACGAGGGGGUGGUCCUGACCUGAGGUCACGUUUCUGGUGAGGAUCUCAGCCCACCACUGACUUCCUGGUCUCCAGACCCAUUGACUUCCCACUGCUUGGAUCUUCCCAGUUCUUGGCUCCUGAGUUCUGUUGAAUUAGAUGGCUCGGAAUAUAAUAGACUUAACAAUAAGUGUUCCUGAAUUGAGUAUUCUUCCCAAAGUCAUUUAGAGAUUUGGUGACUUCUCCAUUUUUCUUUUCCUGCAUUUGGGUCGAAUCAGUCUUUGCCUCUGAGUAGGUCUUUCCGUUGGAGUGUCUUUAAGAUCUGUAUCUUUCGGAUUGCAUUUUCAGAACCCCCUGCCUCUAUUCUGAUGAGAGUCCUGGGUACGUUGGCUCUCUCUCUCUGGGAUGACAGCACCGGUUGAAAAGUGGAGAAUUGAGUCAUCGGCUUUCUGGCUGGUUUAUUCUGUCCCAGAAUUCCGAAGUCCUGUCUGAAACUAUUUAGUCACCAUCCUUACAGUAUGGGAAGUGAUUCACAUGUAAGCCAUAGAAAGCACUUAGCAACCUCUCUGAGAUAAAAAUUCUUGAGGAGGCCUUGAAAAGCCAGCAGUAUUAAUGGACGACAGACUGCCAUGUUGUCUAUCAUGUUCUUAGGUAAAAUCUAGGAGAAUGUUAGGCUCUUGUGACAUGCAAUUGUCUCAGCUUCAAAGCUGGAUUAAUUAACUCACUCAAUGCAAAAUGUUUAUUGAGGGCCUAUUUUUGGUCUGGCCUUACUCAAAGUAGGAGAUACAAAAAGCAACUUGAUGCUGUCUUUGACCAGAAGGGGCCACGAGUGGGGGCCCAGGUACUUAUCAAGGGGCUUGGUUUCAUGCCCCCGUUUCCUUGUUACCCUUAAAGAAUGAGAGAGAGAGAUGCUUGAAGAAGAGCAGAAGCUCUGAUUGCCGUUUAAGCUUGGUGGGAGUUGGGUCUGUUUCCCGUUCUCUGUUCCUGGGCUCCUAGUACCAUGUGGAUGCUCAGUGAAUAUCUGCUCUUUUUUUAGCCUUCUUAUGGGAGGCAAUUGUUGUGUAGAGUGAAUAAGACCUGACUUGGGUCCUCUUGACCUGGGUUGAGGUCUUUGCCCCACCACCUAGCUGUCACCCCUGGACAAGUCACUUAAUGUUGCCGAGCCUCCAUUUUUGUUGCAUCAAUAGAGCGGAGAUGCCAGUGAUUGAUCUCAUAACUUGAGCACAUCACUUAACCUCCCUGACCUUGGAUUUCUCAUCUUUAAAAUGAGAGACAGUGAGGAUGAGUGUGGAGCACAUGUCGGAACAGACAGACAGUGAAACAGGCAUUUGUUAUUAUCAUCCCCAUGUCAGAAAUGGGCCACUAUCUUACUGAUUCGUCUCAAAUGAAAUUUCAAGAGAAUGAUACAUUGCAACGUGAGUAACUUUCAUUUGUCAAUGUGUGGCUGUGCCACCCCCCCCCACCCCCCACCCCAUUGCAUUUCUCGGCAGCCCGGCAGGGGAGGGCACAUCCACACAUUGCCUGCACUAAUUCUGUUGCCCACUCUCAUUCUGUAGCCUCACUAUCCUACACCCAACCAGCUUGUAUCUCAGAGAUGCAAGGUAAUUGGAAUAACUGUUAUAACCAAAAUGUAAUUGGAGAGAAAAGCUAAAUGUCUAAGGUCCAGGAGUAUCCGGAUGAUCAGAAGUGAUGUAUGGGAUCCUCUGCUGCUUCUGAAUCAUCUGGGUUAAUUACCAUACUCUGCACCAGCUUUGGUCAUCAAGGAGCACACAGAACCAUUGUUUAUCUUUGAAGACCAUGGACAACGAUCACAUAAGAUCGUCCCUAAGUUUCUAGUCCCUUUUAAUCUAAUGGACGUUUGAAGAAAAGAGGCCUGAACUUUCGAUAAAACCAUUGUCUUUUGGCUUUCAAGGCCCUUUAGCUGUUUCAUUAGGGGAUUGAAGCCAGAAAUCAUUUGUGACUUUCCCCCUACACUGGGGGAAUGGGGGAUAGAAUAUCUUUUGUGGUUUUUGUUUACAAGAAGGAAGAUUUCAGACUUGAGCUGGAGAAUAAAAGGAAAUUGAAACUAAAGAUCAGGUUCUGGAUUUGACUAAAGUUUCUAAUAUUGUUCAGCCACAAGAAAGCCAAAAGCUUUCACUAUAUGCUCUGGCUGAUAUAAUACAGUGUGGGCAUUUAAGAAAAGGGUUAAUUAGGCCAAUUAGAUUAGAUGUUAGGCUGCCUGUUUCUAAAUACCAUGGGAUAUAAUUUAUUUCAGUUGGAGCUUUAAGCCCUCAUGCAUGGUAGACAUGUCGAUUAUGGAUAAAUUAAAGGAAAAAAUAAACAAAUAUUCAGAAUGUCAGACACAAUCAGAGAAUGGUAGAAAAAUAUGUAAUUUAGCUUUCAACUUCUAUACCAGCUAGGAUUGUGUCCCAUGCAAAUCUUCCUGGAAUUUUGGGGAGCCCAAUUUUUUCUCUCUACUUGUUUAAUUCAAUUCUAGGAUGUAGCUGGGCCAGGAGGAUUUUGUCAAGAAAUGGGUGCUCUGUUUUCUGAGGCUUUGUACUUCAGUUGGAAGGAAGGGGAAUUUUCAUAUUUCUUGUUUUCUUUUUUUGUAGAGAUUGGGUCUCACUUGGUUGUCCAGCCUGGUCUUGAACUCCUGGCCUCAAGCAAUCCUCUCUAUUUGGCUUCCCAAAGUGCUGGCAUUAAAAGUGUGAGCCAGGCCGGAUGCGGUGGCUCACGCCUGUAAUCCCAGUACUUUGGGAGGCCGAGGCGGGUGGAUCACGAGGUCAAGAGAUCGAGACCAUCCUGGUCAACAUGGUGAAACCCCGUCUCUACUAAAAAUACAAAAAUUAGCUGGGCACGGUGGCGCGUGCCUGUAAUCCCAGCUACUCAGGAGGCUGAGGCGGGAGAAUUGCCUGAACCCAGGAGGCGGAGGUUGCGGUGAGCUGAGAUGGCACCAUUGCACUCCAGCCUGGGUAACAAGAGCGAAACUCUGUCUCAAAAAAAAAAAAAAAAAAAAAAAAGCAUGAGCCACUGCACCCAGUCUGGGUUUUUAUAUUUCUUAUAGUUGUCUUAGAAUUUUCAGUUCCAAUAUGCUCAUCGUGAAAAGCAAGUGAAUCCUUGAAUAUUGAUGUUUAUUGAGAUUAGGAGGAAGUGAAAUACAAAAAUCUGAGUGCCUUUUCCACCUUUCCUGGGGUUUUCUGGCCUUCCUGUUCUGUCCUGAUUUCUGUCUCUCAACCCCUGAUCUUGGACAUACAGGAGCUACUUCUCCUCUCAGCCUCUUCUGAAUAGAACAUCUGAUAAACAGAUGCUUCCUGCAUCGUCACCCCUGUGGACUUUGGACUCUACUCCCAAGGAUGCUGACUUCAUUAGCUUCUACUGGAGGAACAACCUCAAGCUUGGCCAGGUGGCAGAUGUGUAGAAGUCUCCAUGACAUACUGAUAUUUGUUGAUAUUUGUGCUAUCUAUGUUUACAUAUUUAUAUCUAUGUGUAUAUGAUUCAAGCACAACUGUGUCAACUGUUUAACAAAGUUUUAUGGGAGAAAGCUUGAUAAUUGAGAAAAUUUUAUUCCUAUUUGUUUAUUUGAACCACAACUUCUUGUAGUUUGUCAAACUUUGAGAAAGCUGGUUAUGAUUUGAUGUAGUGGGCAAACAUUGGAGAGUGACUGGAAACCACUGAUUUAAAAGAACACUUCCUGGGAUUUCUGGCCUCAGCGAGGGCUGAGGCAGUUAUUUGGUGGGUGGGAGGUGGGCAUCUUUCUUGGCACUGCUGUAGACCUGCUACCUCGGUCUGCCCUGACAGAGGCUUCCCCAGCUGUUGAGGGCAUCCAGGCCAGUGACCUUGGCUGUGAGAGGAACGGCUUGGGCACAGGCGAUCUCAAAGGGCCUGUCACCCUGGAGCUGUCUGUCUGCAUCUGAGUGAACCCUCUCUCUGGGUACAGCCUCAGAAAAUUCAGGGCAUUUUGAUGCUCUGGCCCUUGGCCAUUUGGAUUUGAGGAGAUUUUUCUUGGCUUGGAAAACAAAGCAUUCAACUUGCAGCAAAUUAAAAGAAAAGGAAGGGAAGUUGAGAACAAACACUCCAUCCAGGAGUUUGGGCUUUGAGGUGGGAUAGGGAUGGGGAUGGGGAUGGGCAGGGAGGUGGAAA